ACAGUAAACCUAUCAAACAUGGUAGUGACAUCUUCACCCGCUUCCAUUUUAAACAUUUCAUAAUUAUAGGUGAGUAAGGCAAUUUUGGACUCUUUUACUUAUAAAGCCCCCUCAUGAAUGACUUUAAAGUUUUUCUAAAUCUUUUUGGCUGUUGUACAACAAAAGAUUUUGUUGAAUUCUAAAAGAGUAAGUGCACAAUGAAGGAUGUUGAUAACUUUAAAGUUUGUUUAGACUUUUUUGACUUCAGCCUCAGUCCACUCAACUCUAGGCUUAGGCAUUUUCUCAUUAGUAACAAAACUAGGUAAGGUGGGAAUAUAAGAUCCUUCCGUAAUAACAUCUCAUAUUUCUUAGUUAAGGGCUCUAAUGUAUAAGGACAUCCUAGUGCUUCAAUAUACAUAAUUUGAUCCAUCUAAUAGAAGAGGCCUAUUUGUGGAUUGACCCCCAGCAACAAUUGACUUUUGCAAAGCUAUGCGGAUUUUCCUUAAAGAUGUUAAGCCUUAAAAUUAAGAGUAUGGCUCUAAUACCAUUUGUUGGUCCCAAUGGAGUGUUAGAGGGGGUGAAUAGCACUAAAAAUUUUAAGCUUAUCCCUUUGUGAAAGAUAAAGCUUUAAUUGUGUAGAGGAAAAUGAAUAUAAAGCAUUUAGUGGCCAACAAACACCAAGUAAAGAAGAGUAAAGAGAUGUAGACAAUGCAAAGCUAUUUAUAGUGGUUCGGUCUCUUUGACUUACAUCCAUUGCCUUGAUCUUCCAAUCAAGGAGUUUUUACCUAACUUCAUUAAACCAAUGGAAUUAAUAGCUUCCACCAAGCUUUUGUAAGGUGAGCUUCUAACCCAAGCUCUAAUCCCUUACAAUAAGCUUUAGAACACUUCCCACACUCUAAUUUUCUAAGAAAGGAAGAAAAAGAAGUACAACUAAGUACUUUUACAAGUCUAGAUAGAUUACAAUCAAGCUCAAACAUUUUUUCUGGAUUUGAAAUGAAGAACAAAUGUUUUUGGUGAAGAAUAUUUAGCUUUUUGCUCAAAGUAGCUUUUUUCUCUUCAAAUCUUCCUUCUUUGACAGUUAGAGCUUCCUUUUAUACUUGGAGAGUCAAAUUUUCUAUCGGAGAUAGUUUCUAGCCAUUAAAAACAACUCUGAUGCACUUCUAGCCAUUAUUUUAUUUUCUAGUGUUUAAAUUCAAACAAGUAGACAAUCUUCAACUAACCUAUUAUCGACAGCUCUAACCGAUUACAACUUUUCUGUCUUGCACCAUCCUGCUACUGUGGUCUUUGCUCUAACCGAUUACAAGAGGCUCUAACCAAUUAAGAGUUCUCUAUCUUCAAACUUCUUUUCUUCAACAAACUUCCUUUAAUUGGUUAUGGCAGGCUUUAAUCAAUUACAAACUUUUUGUUUUCACUUCUCUACAUAAUAGUCUUCCUUUAAUUGGUUAGCUUUUCCCUUAAUUGAUUGAAGCUUUACUUUUUUCAACCAUAACCAAUAAAAAUCAGCUUUAAUCGACUAGAAGAUCAUUUUGGCUCCCUUCAACGGUUAAUUAUAUUUUUAAACUUGUUUUUGGCGUUUGAAGAUACUAGGACCUUGUGCUUAAACCAAUUAACUAGACCUCUUAAUCAAUUAGCAUAUUUCUGUUUUGCUUCAACUUAUCGCACAACCAUGCUUUAACUAAUUAAAGUCCCUUGAUAAUUAGCUACUAAGGUUAUGUUUUUAUUCAUUAGUUGCUCUUUUCCUCUUAACUAAUUAACUCUUCAUUAAACUUAGCAAGCUCCUUAACUUACUUUUAAUUAAUAGUUUUGUUAAGGGUAUUAAAUUAAAUCCUAUACACUUAAAUAGUGAAGUUAGACAUUAAUGAAUGAAGAAUAUUUUGUUGUCAUAAAAAACAUAUGGAGUCAACACUUAUGUGUUUCUUCAUAAGUGAUUAAAUAAAGAACUAAAUUGUCAUGAGCAGUAUUACUACUUUUAUUGUUCUCGACUGCUAGCAAAACUUUGUAAUCACUUUUUAGCCAUAUGUACAACUUGCUUUGAUACAAAAAUAUUAUAAAAUUAUAAAAAAGUAUUUUUGUAUUUAGUGAAAAUAUUGUUUCAUUACAAUAAAGGGUAUUUCUAUAUUUUGAUGAAAUAUUAUUAAAGUUUAAAUAAAUAUUUUUUUCUAAAUCCAAAAAUAUUAUUAAAUUAUAAUAAAGGAUUUUUUUAUUUUGUGUAAAUAUUAUUUAAUUACAAUAAAGGGUUUUUUCAUCAUUUGAUGAAAAUAUUAUUAAAGCUUUAAUAAAAGGUAUUUUUGUCUUUGUUACAAAAUAUUAUGAUAAAGGGUAUUUUUCUAUUUUGGUAAACAAAUUUUUAAUUACAAUAAACAAUAUUUUUGUCUUUUGAUGAACAUAUUAUUAAAUCUUAAAUAAAGGAAGUUUUGUCUUUUCUCAAAAAUAUUAUUUGAUCAUAAUAAAAGGUAUUUUUGUGAAAAUAUUAAUUAAUUACAAUAAAAGAUAUUUUUAUCCUUUGACGAAAAUAUUGUUAAAACUUAAAUAAAAGAUAUUUUUGUUUUUUUGACAAAAAAAUAUUAUUAAAUGAUAAUAGAGGAUAUUUUUAAAUAUAAUUGAAUUAUAAUAAAAGAUAUUCUUAUCAUUUUAUAAGUUAUUCUUUGAGUAUGUCAAACUCUUCUUAACCUCAAAAUAAUAAUAAUUAUAUUUUAUAAAUUAAAUUACAUAAUAAUUAAUUUUACUAAAUAAUUAUUCUAUUUUGUGAACUAAACUUGUUUUAAACAUUCAGAUCAGCUGCAAAUAGUAUAGGUUUGAUUUAUAUUGAAUUUUCACUAUUUAUUUAUAUUCUAAAUUGUUAAGGGUUUUCUUGAGCUAGUAAAGGGAGAUAAAAACUAUUAAAAACUUAUUAAUGACGAUAUCUUAACUGAAAGGAUAAUGGUGACGUUUGUUGUGAUGUAUGUGUAAUAUUUAUUUAUUAGAAGAAGAAACGAUUAAAAGGAGGAAAAAACAAGAAAAAGGACAUUUUGGUAAUUGAAGGUGAAAUUUCUUCUCCGGACAAGCGACAACUUCCUAGUCCGCAGUCUUAAGCAAGAGCAAAACGGGUCUUCCAUUUCAGGUGAGACUUUGCAAGUAGAGAGAGAGAGAGAGAGAGAGACUCCACCCAAAAGGUCCAAACACCCAAAGAUAAUCAAAACUCUCUCUGUCGAAUUUCAAAUCUGAAAUUGCGAAUUUAGGCAGAAAAAUAAAAAGAAAAAGGAAUAGUCUUCGGUUAUGGCUUUUCAAGGGAAGAAGCUCAUCAACAACCCUAACGGUUCGCGUCUUCCUUCUCCUUGUUUCUCACUAUCUCCUCUUUCUACUACUUAUGUAUCGCCUCCGAUCAUCUGAAUAUAUUUUUUUCUGAGAAAAAAAACCUUGAAAAAGAAUUCAGUGUUUUUCCUCACUCAGUCUUCCGUUCUCUAUCUCUUUAUUCUUUAUUAUUUAUUUCAAUUUUAAAUUUAAGGAUGGAAUUGGCUCGCAUUUCCAAAUUCUUGUUUAUUUGUGUUUGCAUUGUGAAAUGUGGAUUUUUUUUUUGUUUCUGUGCUGUUAGCUGUUAGAUAAUGGAUUUAUUUUAUAUAUACUUGAUCAAAUAAUAGUGGCUUUGCUUUACUCUCUGAGCAAAUGAAAUCUCAGAAUUUAGGCAAGACUACUGUCAAAAAAAAAGAAAAAAGAAAAAAUAAUAGCUUUAGGCUCAAAGGCACAAACUAUUAUAUCUUUUUCCUAAAUUUUCUGCGUUAACUACUCUUUGGUUAGGGUUAAGUUCAAUCAAGGCUUAUGUUCUCUUGUUUCUCGUUAACAUUCCUUUACGAUGCUCUUUCUACCAAAAUACACGAUGUGAAAUAUGGAAAAUAAUUGGGUAACUGUUAAUAGAGGGAAUUGACAAUUUUAGUUUUCUGUUUUAUGAAAAAUUAUUUGUUGUUGUUUUAUUAUCGUGGUGGCAGAUGUGGUCACUGAAUUUAUUGAGGGUCUUGUGGAAACCUAUCCAGGACUCCAGUACUUAGAUGGUUUCCCUGAGGUGAUUAAUUUUUCCUCCUUGCUCAUGUAUAUUAGUGCAAUGAGGCUUAAUUUACACAAAAUGGUAACUAGCCCGUUUGCAGGUGAAGGUUGUAAUACGUGCUGAUGUUUCGGGUGCAACAUAUGACAAGGUUGCUGUCAUAUCAGGUUUGGACCAUUUUAAAGCUGCUAACACUUCAUAUCUGUUUUCUUGUGCUGGAAAAUGAAAGUCAAAUUCUUUACUUUGUUUCUUUUAUUAUCUUCAUGAACUAUUACGCUUCCCAGACAACUUUUUAAGCUGCAGUCACCUUUUGUCGUUUCUAAUGAUUUUGACAAUCAAUUAGUUUAACAUCCUCAUUGUUAGGCAACUUUAGGCACUAAACUUGUAGUUAUUAUUCUUUAACAUUUAUGCUCGAAAAAUUUCCCUGACAUCUGUAAGAAAAUAUAUUAGUAACUAUUCUGAUUGUCCAGGACCGGUUGUGGAUUAGUUGGUAUGCAUCAUUGGGCAUAAACUUUGGAGCAUGCAUGGUUCUGGCCUUCUUAUGGUUCUCCAUUCUUUUCCAUUGAAAUUUUAAUUUCUUCCAUAUCACCACUUAUGUUUUAACUGUAUGGGGUUUAUUUAUGUCCAUGCACAUGUUACAUCUUGUUUACUUUUCUUACAGCUUAUGUGAUUAAAACAAGAAUAAUUAUUAUAAGUGGAAAAAAUGUAUUGAAUUUUCUGGCCUCCUCUCCUCUUGAGAGAAGAAUGGUGGUCAUGUCAUGUGAUACUGGCUGUCUUAGGACCCUUUAUGGCUAAUAAAAAUUAUGAAAACGGUGCAUAGAGAACUUUUUAUUUGAUAUAAUUUUUGAUGCAGGAGGUGGAAGUGGGCAUGAACCUGCACAUGCUGGAUUUGUGGGAGAAGGGAUGCUGACAGCUUCCAUUUGUGGAGAUGUUUUUGCAUCUCCUCCGGUUGAUUCAAUUUUAGCUGUAUGCAUUCUAUUUGCUAUUUUUUUUGUGGUUUAAAGAACUGCCAAUUAUGUUAACAUAUUUCCCAUAUUUGACUGAAAUUAUCAUCAGGGCAUUCGAGCUGUGACUGGUCCUAUGGGAUGUCUUCUGAUAGUUACGGUAUUUUUCUUUCCUAAUAAAUCAGGUGAUAGGUUUAUAUGAUAUCAAUUGCUAGUUGGAGGUAUUUAGAGCUAUCAAGAUGUGUGCUCUAAUUUUUUUUCUUUUAGAAUUAACCUCUUUUUAAUUACUCCUGAACACCCCCCCCCCCCCCCCCCCCCUGCAGCCCCUCAUCUUUUAGUUCUGAUUCAUGUUAUCAUCUGGAUGUGGAUAGAAUUAUACUGGUGAUCGCUUGAAUUUUGGUUUGGCUGCUGAGCAAGCAAGGUCUGAAGGUUAUAAAAUUGAAGUAUGUUUUCAUGCUAAACAUUUUUUUAAGACAUUUUUAUUUCUUUGACUUUCUGAAGCAUUGUCAGGGAAAAUAAUAUAAAAACUAUUGGAUGCAAUUCCUUCCCUUUGCAGACUGUAAUUGUUGGAGAUGAUUGUGCAUUACCUCCACCCAGAGGCAUUGCUGGACGAAGAGGUUUGGCAGGAACUAUUCUUGUUAAUAAGGUACUCUAUCUCUGUCUGUCCAUACUUGAUUCCUAUUAACUCAGAAAAAAGUUUUAAACUGUUAGUUGCUAGCUUGCUGUAAUUAUGCUGUUUGACAAAAGGCAAACUGUAUUUCUAUAAACUGUUAACAGGAGUUUCCAUUCAAUGCUGUUUAUCUUAAAGGGUUGCUCUCUUUGAAAGGCUACCUUUAGAAAAGUGGCUUUUUUAAAAUUAAAAAUCUAUUUGCAGUAAAUUAUUGCAAUUGUUCCUCUUCCUCUUUGUGGAAUACAGGUUGCUGGAGCUGCAGCUGCUGCUGGCCUUUCCCUUGCUGAUGUUGCUUCAGAGGCGAAAUGUGCAUCUGAGAUGGUUGGGACAAUGGGUGUCGCAUUAUCUGUUUGCACAUUGCCUGGUCAGGUUACAUCUGACCGCUUGGGCCCAGGAAAGAUGGAACUUGGUCUCGGAAUUGUGAGUUACUUUUCAGUUUUCAUUGCGAAAUAUUUUAGUGCUUAUAUUUCUGCAGAAUCAAGUGAAAGUAGUUUUUUGUUUACUUUUAUUGUUUUGAGUUGAUCAGUUUUAGACUUUAGUUCUAUUCGCUUAGCCUUUGACUGUUGUUCCUUGCGUUGUGCUUCUCUUUGUUUUUCUGAUUUGGUUUCUAUUUCAAUGCUUAACAAAUAUUCUUCUUUCAGCAUGGGGAACCUGGUGCUGCUGUGGCAGACCUCCAGCCUGUGGAUGUGGUUGUUUCUCAUGCUCUUAAGCAAAUCUUGUCACCGGUAUGUCCCAAUAAUGGAGCAGCAGCUUGUUUAUUUUAACCCCCUGCCCUUUUACAUUAUACCUCUAAGGAAAACGGAAUUUGUGCUACAUAGAUCUCAUACCACUAAUGGUGAUGAUGUCUGAUAAUAAGUCUACUAUUGCUAUUGUGAAGAAAAUAGCCUUGAAUUUUUUCUCAAGUAGUUCAGUAUGAUAUUGUUAUAUCUCUCAUUUGGUUGUUUUUUUUUUUUUUUUUUUUCAUUAUUUCAUUUUUGAGGUUGAAAACUAAAGAGCCUAAUUCCAAUGGAAGCUAUUUAAGUUUCAAUUGAUAUUUUAUACUUUUAUUUGGUCUAAUUGAGCCUUCCCUUUCCAAUAUGCCUCAUUUAAGACCGAUUAUAGGCUGUGCUGAAGACUUGCUGUUUAAUUAUGGUGAUGUGGUAUGAUAAAUAUGGCUUAAAUCAAAAUAGAAGACUAUCGAAGAACCAUUAUAUACCUAACUGAAAAAAAAUAAACCAGUACCUGUUAUCCUAAUUUGAAAAAAAUUAGAACCUUAUUAGAAACUAGAAAGAUAGAAAAAUUUAGAUAUCUCUCGCUAGGCUCUUUCUCUGAUUCUCUUCCCUACAGCAGCAAUGGCAUUCUUAACUAAUGACAUCUAGACUUCUAAAACUAUUCAAUUUGGAUUAUUUUAGGUUCAUAUAUUGAAAUCAUGUGGCUUAUGUUGGGCCAUUGGGCCAUAUCUCAUUUAUUUUGAAAAACACCAUGUGUAUCUCUUUCACAAGAUUCAAAGCUGUUACUAUUAUUGCUUGUUCAAGGUUAGUUUCAUUGAUACAUCAUCUCUUUGCCUUUCCUGUUGUGGUUGAGACUGAAAAGGGCCUCCCAGACAUUGAUAAAAAUGCAUAGCACUGCAUUAUAUUGCCAUUGAAUGUUUGAUUUGCCACGAGCACUGUCACCUGCCUUGGGUCACUCCCUCGACUUUCCUCUUCAUAGCCAUCCCACCACUGUUACCUCUUUAUCAUCUUCUGGUAUGUAUUAUUUCAAAUUGCAACUUAAUAUUUUUAAUUUUUUCAGGAAACUAACUAUGUUCCAAUUACACGAGGCAAUAGAGUGGUGCUCAUGAUUAAUGGGUAUGUAUGGAUAUUAAUUUUCUUUCUGCUGUUUUAUUCUCUAUUCUAAGUGGUCUGUGUGGUUUUGGGCUUCAAAUCUGAAUCCAGUCUGUUGCUGAUUUAUUUUGACCUUUGGCUAGGAAAUACAUUAGCAUUUCAUGGAAAAUAACUAUUUGGAUCAUGCCCUAUGCUGUUUAGACAUACCAUUGUGAUAGGUUCCAAGGUGAUGAGUCUGUAAGGGUGACCAACAAAAGAACAGUAGAGGAAAAAGAUGAGGACUGAGGAAUAUGGCCUUGCUAGAAAUAAUAAUACUUGGUCAACUGCAAUGAGUUCACAAUAUACAUUGUAAAUAAGUUGAGUUUUUAGCCGUGUUAGAUUGUUGAAUAUUUUUUUCUUAGCUUGGUUACAGCUGAAUGUAGCUUUUGCCUUUAGCCUGGUAGGUGUUGCUUGGGCUUUAAAAAUUUGAUUUUAGCAUCAGUUGUAAAAUGGAAAUCAGCUAAUGCAAAUUAGUAUAACUGAAUCUAUGAAUUGUUAUCUUAGAUGUGCACAAGAAAUGGGUAUGACAUGAUAUAGACAUGGCAAUAAAUAAUAUCUUUCUAUGUAUUUCAUAUACCUAAAACAAUUUUAGCGUGAAUGAGAACAUUGAUUUUUUUAUUUGAUUUUGAAAAUGGGCUUUGCUAUUUUCUUAAAUUGCAGUUGAUAUUGGCUCUAGUGGCCUAAAACCAAUGUUUUUGCUUGAUUUCAGAUUUUUAGUGGUGGGUUGCUAUCAAAGUUUAAAGGCUAAAAUAGAUCUUUACUUGAACCAUAUUCUGGCCCAUAAUAACCCAUAUCCAUUAGGCCUAUAGCGGCAUAUAGUGCCCAAAUAUAAAUAACCUCAGAGAGGCAAAAGCUGUUCUUGGUUUUGUCCUCCACUCUCUCUUGCUUCAGUUCCUGCCAGUUAGCUUUCGUUCUCUGUCUCCUUUCACUCAAAUUUUGUUCUUCUUGUUCCCAACAACCCUAGAUAUUGCGUAGAGAUUCAUCAAUUCCAUCUGGUCAUCAAAGUCGUAGAUUGUACUAGCAGAUCAUGGUGAAUAAUUGAUGUUGUGUGGAGUGGCAUCUGUAAUUGACAGGGAUUUGGAUCCUAUGUCCUCCCCAUGUCUUUCCCAUAUUCUUGCCGUGUCCUUCGUCUAAAUAUAUAUAUAUAUUUUGCUGUCUCAUCAUGUUUGACAUGUAUCUGGCCAUGUCUUAGGUGUGUCCAUUUUGGACAUGGACAAGCAGGGGGCUUUUCUGUGUCUGUGCUUUAUAGGUUGGAAGAUAUUAGGAAAGGUAAAUCAUGAAUACUAGCUUUGAUUGCCUGCUCUAGAUGUAUGUUCUUUAGAUAUACUCUUUUUGUUAAGGUGCCUGAGCAUAAAAAAGCAUAAAAUAAUAAUUAUUUUAGGCUCCGUUUGGUUGAUGCUUUUGUUAUUUUCUUUUUUGCUUUUUGAAGAAUUGUUAUAAAGCAAAAGAAAAAGGUAAAAAACAAUAUCAUAAUUGAUUUAAAAUGAAGAAAUAAGUAAAAAAUGAAUUAUAACAUAACUAGCGUACAUAGAAGUAGAUUUAUGCAUUUUGUAAUCUAAAAAGAAUUGCAUAUUGUGUAUAAUCCUUCAAAAAAAGUGGCUUUUGUAUCCGCACAUGCUUUUUGCUUUUUUGCUUCCGAAAGCUAAAAGCAAAAAGUAAAAGCACCAACAAAUGGAGCCUUAAUUUCGCUCUUCUACUUUUAAUAAUUAAAGUUUUUGAUGUAAGAAAGCUAGGUAUCUAGCGUUUAUGGCAAUUCUCUGGUUUGAAUGCUUGAGUGAAACAUGGAAAAUUGAGGAUAAAGAAAAAAAGGAAGAAAAUAAAUCCCUAAGCUUUACACUCAGGUUUCCUUAGGAGUCACACCUAAGGUGGAUCACAUCACACAAAAAUUACUCAAUCACAAUAGCAAAAAAUGUUCAAAAUUCUCUCACAUAAGUUUCCUAUCUCAAAAGAAAAGAGUACAUUGACUUCUAUAGACUCCUGGAAUUCCUAAUACCAUCAGAAUUAGCAGUCUUACUUCAAUAACUACUUAAAGAAAUAGGGAAGACUGCAAAUAGAAACCUAACAAACUUAACUUAAAAUAAACCCCGAUAGGAUAAGGAAAACCAAAACUAAGAUCCUAAAUGCGAAAUGCCAAAUUUAACUCGAAGUCCCUUGUACUUGAAAAAUGAACAGUAUACCAAUUAACGUAAAAUAGCUUGAAUAGCCGAAAAUGUGGAAUCUAUAAAAGUUAUAAUCAUGUCCAUAAAAUACAACAAUGUAACAAAUAGUUUAAUCCCUCAAAUAGUUGCUUUGCAUUUUGCAUUGGUUUCUGUUUUGAACAUUAUUCUAUCUCCUAAGGCUAAAUGAACUCUUAUAUAGUUUUACCAAUUGGGGGAUUCACAAAUUGUUUUUCCCAUCUUACUAUAAGUAGCCAACACUAGUCUUCUGUGAAUAUAAUUUGCACAAAAGUUGAGGCUUGAUGGUUCGUGAUAUUAUAUGAUGGAUCUAAUUCUCUCUCUCUCUCUCUCUCUCUCUCUGAAAACUUAAUGGUUACUUAUUAGGUGCUCCAAGUUAUUCCUGUAAAUAUACCAACACUUUUUCGUUGUUUUUUGAAUGCUGGAUAAUGGUAAUGACACAAUUAAAACCUUACUAUGUAGACUGUGUUUUUGUGCAGUUUUACACUGGUUGUUAAGUAUAUACCGACUCAUCUAAACUGACCUUGCUGCUCUUCACUGAUGUGUAAAGUUGUGCUUUCUGGCUGUUUAAAUAACUUGCAUUUACUAUGCAACUGCUCCCAUUGCUGUAAUUAAUACAUGUGUGUCAAAUCAUGAGCUUACUGCAUAGUGUGCUUUUCCAUGGUGCCAGUUUAGUGUUAAGAACUCCUGAGCUUCUAAAAUCUCCACUUGGGUUGGCUCAAGUUGUUAUGAUUGCAAUUAUGUGUUUUUUCUUGUGUGUUAUUUUAUUUUUGUUAUUAUUAUUUCUGAAAAGUUAGAACUUUGCAACCUGCAUCAUCAUUGCCACUGUAAUGAUGGAAUUGAUGACUGUGUAGGGGAGAAAGUGGACAGAGUAGCUUAUGAGUUGGUCUAGGUCUAGUUUGGCUUGAUUUGAACUGGUUUAUUUGGUUAGCUUGAGCUUGAAAAUUGAGCUUGGUUAUUAAUAACUCUAAUAAGCAAGCUUGAGUUCAGGGGUGUUUAUCUUGUUUUUGUCUUUAUGUGAUGGAGAACAUUCUUUAAGUUUUUGGAAGAAUGUUGACUCUAGGCGUAAAGUUAGGAAAGAGGAUUUAAUUUAUUAGUAGACAUAUUGGUUUGGUUUAUUUCAUUAGUUGUUAUUUGGGUUUGGUGGGCUUUAUUUUCCCAUGGGCUUAAACCUGGGCUUAUGAAGCUUAUAUAUAUAGGUUUUCUUAUGUUUGGAGAUUAAAUUUUGAUGAAUGAUAUUUUUGACAUUGAGAUAUUGAGUUUAUAAAAUUGGAGAUUUCAGAUUAUUCUUGAGUUUUGCUCUUUUGGGUUAUUUGUUCUACAUGUUUGUGAAUAAAGCUCUUUUAGAAGUUCUAUUUUAUGUUUUUAUUCUAUUAGUUUAAUUGCUUUUGUUUGAAAUGUCUUUUUUUUUUCUCCCAUUUGAAAUAUUUUAUUGUGAUCUUCAAUUGUAUUUUUGUUGACUGAAUUAGGUUAGAAUUAUGAUUAAAAGAUAUUUAGUAUUACUAUUUGAAAAGAAUUUGAGUAAAUAAAUUAGCUUGUUUAAAGCUCAGAGUUGAGGUCAUUUAAAAGCUCUAAUUAGGUUCAUUUGUUUAAACAAAUUGAGCUCAAACUCAAUAAGAACCUAAACUCAAUUUCCAAAUUUUAGGCUUAAUAAAAGCUUGAGCUUGAUGAAUUAACAAAUUGAGCUCAAACUCAAUACGAACUUAAACUCAAUUUCCAAAUUUUAGGCUUAAUAAAAGCUGGAGUUCGAUCAAUUGCUUAAAUGAUCUCCCUAGUCAAGCUUGGCUUGGCUCAAGUAUGCAUUCCUGUGCAUUUAUGUACUGUAGUAGUUUUUGUCCAUGUCUUUUCGUUAUCAUCAUUUUAAAGAUCUUUUAACAUGCAGCUUAGGUGCCACUCCUGUGAUGGAGCUGAUGAUUGCAGCUGGAAAGACUGUCCCUAAAUUGCAGCUGGAAUUUGGACUUGCCGUUGAAAGAGUGUAUACAGGAUCAUUUAUGACCUCUCUUGAUAUGGCAGGUUUGUUCUUGUUGAUAAAUUUUUUUUUUGUUUAUUAGUAGUAUUGUUCUUUAUCAGUACAAUGUUUCUUUCAGGAUUUUCAAUCUCUAUAAUGAAGGCAGAUCAAACUCUGUUGCAACGCCUGGAUGCUCCCACUAAGGCUCCUAAUUGGCCUGUUGGUUCUGCUGGUCUGUGAAUGUGUUAGAAUAUUGACACUUCUUGUUUAUGUCUCCUCAUUUCACUUGUCUAAAGAUGCAUAAGGAAGAAAUUUGAGUGGUGUUAAACCUCAUAUUUUGCAUCACAUAUUUAUGAAUUGCACUGCUGCAAAGAUAAUCUUAACCUUUUAUUGCAAUGGUUAAAACAGUUAACCACACUAGAUUGAAAAUUAAAAAUAAAGUUCAAUGGCAAUUUGGGGUUCAUUAAGCUUAAAUGCUGUGUUUUCUUGUAGGUAAUCGUCCACCUGCCAAGAUUCCUGUCCCACUGCCACCAUCUCGUUCAAUGAAGAGUGAGGAGGUUGGUUGCAGGAAUUAUUGAUUAUCAUAAAGGGGUAUAUUGUGAAUGGACAGGUCAUAUAUUAUAGAUAAAUCUUCUAAUUAAAGGCUAGAUUUACAUUUAAUUAACAUCUCUUUCCAGGCAGAAUGUAGAUAUUAGUUUUUUAGUUGCCAUUACUAGACAGUUUAACUUCAUUUCUAGUCAUUGAUGUUGUUAUUGAUAGAUGUAGACAACACUGCAUGACAUAUGCACAAUCUUUGACUUGCUAGGUAGGCUAUGGAAAAGUAUAAUAGCAAUACUAACAGUAGAAGAGAAUGAAAUGACAUCAUAUUAAAUUUCUCAGUAUGUACGAAAAAGAAAUUUCUUAUUAUGCGGUUUUAUGUUCUGUUGAUGAUACAUCACAAAUUGGGAAAGGUGCCUUCUUGUCCCCCUAGUCCACAAAAUAACAAAACAUAAUAUGGAUUUACACUGGUUAAAAUGUUGUCAUGGCCGAGAAAUUAAUCCAUGGAUAAUCCUCUGGAUCUGUUGGAAUAGCCUAGGAAGCUCCUAUGGCUGAUGCUAAACUUUUUUUGAGUUAAAAUAAAAUAAUUUCACAAAUAGACUGUGGGUGUUUUAUUGUCUGAAGAAGGAAAAAAGGAACUAAAGCAGAAGAAAGAAAAAAGGAAAAAAAAUGAAUGAACAUUAGUUAGUGAUGAAAUACAAUCCCUUAGGACACAAUCCUGUGGUUACAUUCUUUUUGGUACCUGAACUGUGUAUUCCAUGUGGGGAGGUGGGUUGUUAAUAUGUGUUAAAAUAGCAAAUACUUUUGAUGCCUCAGGUUUUUGGGGUGCUAAGUUUUUGGGGCAUAUGACCUUGUUAAGAGCUGUUGGCUAUGAAACAAAGCAGUUUCUGAUUGUGUUUAACUGGCAUCUUACUAUCACCAAAAGGAAAAAUGAAAAUGGAAUGCCUCAAAAAUGAAAUGAAGAAAAAAGAAAAAAAGANUGUUAGUAUUACCUCAAAGAAAAAGAUAUUUGAUAGAAUUGACCUUAAAGAAAGUAAGUAAUUAUAUAUAUUUAUUUGUGCUUCAGUCGAUUUGGACACACUUAACUGAAUCUGCAAAAUAUAGUUGGGGAGGGGGGGGGGGGGGGGGGAUUGGAGGAAAUCCUUCAUUAAGCUGACCCUUCUUGUUUGUUUCUGGUAGUCAUUAAGUCGGCCGCUGCAGCUUAGUGAACAGGGCCGUAUACUUGAAGUAGCUAUUGAGGCAGCGGCAAAUGCAGUAAUCGAUAUGAGGGACAGUUUGAAUGACUGGGAUAGCAAAGUAGGUGAUGGUGACUGUGGGUCAACAGUAAGUCGUACACUGUCUUAAUCCAUCCUUUAGCUUUUGGUUCACAGUUUCUUGCAUGCUAUGCAUGAUUAAUUUGCUUUUGCAGAUGUACAGAGGUGCAACAGCAAUCCUUGAUGAUAUGAAAAAAUAGUAUGCCCUUUCUCCAACAAUUUUAUGUUUUCUUUUGUUGCUUGAAUAGAGGAAAUUGUCCUACCAUAGUAGUUGUGGCAGUCCCAGGCCAGAAUGCUAGGACAUAUGUGUAAUUGUUAUGCAGGCUGUCUGCCCACCAUUGCAAUUGGUUUUAAGAUUGCUGGACAUGUAUAACUUUUUGACGGACUGUCAGAGGUGUUAAUGGGUCAUUAUCUUAGACAUGUACGAAGGGGUAUAUUUAGCUUUGAUUUUAAAAGGUUGCUAAUAAUACCAAGUAGUAUAUAUAUUUUAAGACUUCCUCAAUGUGGGCUGACAUGGCUUGCUUGUAGAUCUUAUUCUUGUUUCACAACUAUUGGAUUGGAUUUAAAAAUAGUGAUGUACAUGCAAACUAAUUAUGUAUUUCACUUGUUAUUGUAGCUUUUGUAUUAGUGUCAUUAGAAUGCUAAGAAAAAUAGUGAUGUACAUGCAAACUAAUUAUGUAAUUCAAUUGUUAUUAUAGACUUUGUAUUAGUGUCAUUACAAUGCUAAGAAGAAUUCCAGGAAAAUUGUUGUUUGAGAUGCUUCAAAGUCUUCGAUGCCCAUAAUUCUACAGAGGAUAUUUACCCGAAGAGAUAUAUUAAUGUAUAAAAUUAUUGUAGUCAAACAGUCAUCUGGAAUUUCAAGCUUUGUUGUUAUUUCUUUGUUUGUCAGCUCUGUUGUAAUUAGUUGUGUUGCUAUUAUUAGCACAAUAGUUCAAUUGCAGAAGUCAUGCAAUCAUUGAUGACUAUCAGCUUUAAAUCCUGUUGUUUUAAUACGUAACAAUGCUUUUGCACUUCAUUGAUUAUCAUUCCAACAAAAUAUUUUCAUUCUUUUCUUGAUGAUCUUACUUGAUGAAUCAUCUUCAUCUGUUUUCAGUUAUCCUCUGAAUGAUGCUGCUGAAACAGUGAAUGAAAUUGGAUCAUCUGUUAGAAGAGCUAUGGGAGGAACGAGUGGAGUCUUGUAAUUUACUGGCCUGUUCUCUGUGCUUGAUUUAUACUUAACAAAUAACCAGAAAUAUAAACUCUUGAGAUAUCUCUUUUGAACAGAUACACUAUAUUUUGUAAGGCAGCAUAUGCACGGUUGAAAGCAAACUUGGAUUCAACUGUCACAGCAAAGCAAUGUGAGAUGAUGCUUUCAAUCUGAAAGACUUUCUGAUUUAAACACCUUGACUUAAUGACUUUUGAUUUCAGGGGCUGAAGGACUUGAAGCUGCCAUUGAUGCAGUCAGUAAAUACGGUGGGGCUAGUGCUGGUUAUCGUACAUUAUUGGAUGCCCUUAUUCCUGCAUUAGCAGUUCUUAAGGAGGUUGUAUAAAACAACUGCCUCUCUUUGCUCUUUUUGUUAUGUGGUCUAAGAUUUCCCGCUAAUUUUAUGUUUCGGAAGCAGAGAUUAAGUGCCGGUGCUGAUCCUUCCACUGCUUUUGUCGUCUCAUCUGAAGCAGCAUUAGAAGGAGCUGAAUCAACUAAAGACAUGCAGGCACAGGUUGCUGUAUCAUUUUGCCUUUGCUUAUGUAGUAUUUAGGAUUCUGAUUGCAUUAGGCUGUUCUUCUUGGUUGGCAGUUCUUGGGUAUAUAAUUCUAUUAAAAUGCUGUGGUGUUGCAUGCUACAUCUCAAAAUUCAUGCUAAAGUAGGAAGGUCUUUCAAAUUCUACAAACUGAAAAUAGAACUCUAAAUAUAUAGAAGAAACUGACUAAAAAUAGAAUAGAAUCUGCAAUUAAAACUCUAAAUAUAUACAAGAAACUGACUACAAAUAGGAUAGAUGAGAUCACUAUUGUUUUGCAGGUGUUUUUCUUUAAGCUAAAAUGCUAAAUAUGUUCCUGAACUUCCUCACUUUACCUAAAUAAGUCCAUAGAUUUUUAUUGUAUCCAAAUAAGCCUAUACCCUAUAAUUUGUACCUGGAUAGGCUCGGAUAGGCUCUUGUAUUGACAAAAAGAUGUUAUGCAUAUCAUGUGAUCUUAUCGGUCAUUAGGUCCAUGGUCAGCUGGCAUCUUAUGUAUGCAUAGUGGACAUUGAUGUGGUUUUUUUGAUGUGUUAAAAUUAGUUUUUUUUUUUUUUAAAUUAUUUGUUGAAAUUAGUUGAGUGGGAAAAUUUUUUGCUUGAAACGUGGUCAUUUGAGUUAACAUGGUGAUGUAGCCGAAAGGUUUAGGGCAAUUAGAACUCAACAAUUAGGGCUAGAAUAGGGUUGAUUGUGUUGGAACAAUAAAAAGAUAAUUGGGUUUUCAAAGAAACCUCUUGAAUAAAUAUUCAAAAUAACAAAAGAUGAUAAUAAUAAUCUUCUACCUAAGAUACUUAUUUAUAAUAGUUAAGAUAAAUCCUAAUCAAAUAGUAAUUUUAAUCCUAAAUAAAAACUUAAAGUACUAAAAUUCUAAUAAAGAUAGGAAAAAGAAUUUCAAACUAAAUAAAUAAAAUAAAAUCCUAAACUAACUAAAAUACUAAAUAAAUUUUCAUAUGCGCCUGCAUCAGUCCCCUCGGGUCAGAAAAGACUCGACUCCGACGAGUAGGCCUUGACAUACUCCUCAUAGAUGUCGGGAUCCACUCUUUUCAAUUCUUCUUCUGCAAUCCAAGUGCUUUCAUUAGCAGGUUUACUAAGCCAUUUCACUAAAAAUCGUCUAUACGGGUUCCCUCGUCUAGAUCGAACCUCUUUUACAUCUAGCACAUCCUCAAUAACUUCAACCUUAGCAAUUGGAAGGUGCUGAAUUUGAGCGUCUAUGGUAGAUGCAGUUCCAUCACAUCCAUCAAAUGGAUACAAGUCCAAAAUAUUGAAAAUAGGACUGAUUUGUAACUCAGGUGGUAACUCAAUUAAAUAGGCAUUUGAACUGAUUUUCUUUAGCACCUUACAAGGUCCAAACUUUCUAGACUUGAGUUUGUGAUAAGUACCCUUAGGAAAUCUUUCUUGCCUCAAGUGCACAAGUACUUGAUCACCUUCCUCAAAUUCCUGCUUGCGACGAUGUUGAUUUGCUGUAAAAGAAUAUUCUGCAUUGCUGGCCUUUAAAGCAGCCUUUACCUCUUCAUGAAUUUUCCGAAUAUGGUCAGCAAAUAACUCUCCUUCAUUACUCACUCUAGCUUCUUGUGGUAGGGGUACUAAAUCUAGCACAUGUUGAGGUUUUAACCCAUAUGCAGCCUCAAAUGGUGUCUUCUUUAUGCUUCGAUUGACAGAAUUGUUGUAAGCAAAUUCAGCUUGGGGUAUGACUAAAUCCCAAGUCUUUGGGUUAUUUUGAAUAAGACAUCUUAACAUAUUACCCAAACUUCGAUUCACAACUUCUGUUUGACCAUCUGUUUGCGGAUGGCAAGUACUAGAAUACUUCAACUCUGUCCCAAAUUUCCUCCACAAAGUUCUCCAAAAAUGUCCCAUAAACUUCACAUCUCUAUCAGAAACAAUGGAAGUUGGAAUUCCAUGUAAUCUUACAAUCUCACGAAAGAAUAAUUCAGCAAUAUGAGUUGCAUCAGAAGUCCUAAAACACGGAAUAAAAUGUGCCAUUUUUGAAAACCGAUCCACCACCACAAAGAUAGAAUCAAAUCCUUUUGCUGUCUUUGGAAGUCCCAAAACAAAACCCAUACUCAAAUGAAUCCAAGGUGCAUCUGGCUCAGGUAAAGGAACAUAUAAACCAGUGUUUUGAGCACUGCCUUUACCAAAUAAACAAGCUGGACAUCUUUUCACCAACCUCUCCACAUCUCGGCGCAUUUUUGGCCAAUAAUAACGAUCAGCCACCAUUGCCAAAGUCUUGUCUCUGCCAAAAUGUCCUCCUAAACCAUUCCCAUGAAGUUCUCUAAUGAUUUGCUCCCUUAAAGAUCCUUCUGGAAUGCACAACUGGUUACCUUUGAAUAAAUAAUAUUCGUGCAACAUAUAAGGUAAAUUUUCAGCUUGUAAUGAACCCUGCAAAUCAGCUAUUAUCUUGCUGAAAUAUGAAUCAGAACUAUACUGAUUUUUAAGUUCUUCAAAUCCUGUGACUUGCGUGCUCAUAACUGAUAACAUUUUACAUCGCCUACUCAAAGCAUCAGCCACAGUAUUAGACUGCCCAGAUUUAUAUUUUAAAGAGAAAUUAAAUUCAUUGAGAAAAGAACUCCACUUAGCAUGUUGGUUACUAAGCUUUUUCUGCGAAUGCAAAUACUUUAAAGCUUGAUGGUCAGAAUAAACAGCAAACCCACGAUAAGCCAAGUAGUGCUGCCAAUGACGAAUGACCCUUACCAAAGCAUAAAACUCUAAGUCAUAAGUUGAAUAACGUCGUCUAGAGUCUGUCAACUUUUCACUAAAAAACUCUAUAGACCUUCCAUCUUGACUAAGAACUGCUCCAAUUCCUACAUGUGAAGCAUCACACUCAACAACAAAUAACUUCUCAAAAUUUGCUCUGAUACCACUUGAUGUAGCCGAAAGGUUUAGGGCAAUUAAAACUCAACAAUUAGGGCUAGAAUAGGGUUGAUUGUGUUGGAACAAUAAAAAGAUAAUUGGGUUUUCAAAGAAACCUCUUGAAUAAAUAUUCAAAAUAACAAAAGAUGAUAAUAAUAAUCUUCUACUUAAGAUACUUAUUUAUAAUAGUUAAGAUAAAUCCUAAUCAAAUAGUAAUUCUAAUCAUAAAUAAAGACUUAAAGUACUAAAAUUCUAAUAAAGAUAGGAAAAAGAAUCUCAAACUAAACAAAAUAAAAAAAUCCUAAACUAAUUAAAAUACUAAAUAAAUUUUCAUAUGCGCCUGCAUCACGUGGUCGUGUGAUCUUAGCCAAUUUCACCACAUUUGAAUAUCCAUGUCAUGUUAUGAAUGUGAAAGAUCUCAGUUGACCGUGAGUCUAAAGGCCAUUAAGGUCAAGUGACAUUUUUCCAUCAACAUAGGGGUUUAUCUAAGUAAAAAUCUAGAAUAGGAACUUAUUCUGAGUACAAUAAAAAGGUAAGGUUUAUUUUGUUUUUUGAAAAAUUUGGGAUAAUUCAGGGCCUUAUUAAGCACUUUUAGUUUUUCUUUUUCCUUGUUCCUUUUGGGAGAGUUUCUUGUCUGCUUUUUCUGAGUUUUACUUUGGCCUUUGGGUACAAAAAAAAGUGUCAGGGUUAGUGCUAUUUAAUCAAAGGUUUAAGUUCGGAUAUAGUUGCUGCACUUUUUCGACAUUUGAUUUGGUCUCUAAACUUUAAUUUCUUAAAAUCACAAUUUGUGCUUUCAAAUUUCUCCAACCAAGAAAAAUUCUAUAACACCCAAUAAAAGUACAAGACUGAAUUCUAACAAAAUUCUACAUAGGAUAAAUUUUUUAAUAGGUUGCCUAAGCUAAUUUAGAUCUGUUUGGUUAAUGUUUCCUGCUUUCUAUUUUGUGUUUUCUAUUUCGACUAAUUUUAUUUUGUUUUAGUUUUAAAAAUUUGAAAGCAAAAUGCAUGUUUGAUGUUUGGUAAGCAGCCUCAUUCCAUGUUGAAAAAAAAAAAAAAAGAAUGAUGUUAUUGCAAACAUAAUAAUUCAAUAUAGAAGUAAACUAUUAAAAAAUUAAUAAUAAAUAAUAACAUGAUGUAAUAUAAUAGAUUCUGAUAAAUUUAUAAAUUUGUGUAAUAUAUUCUAUCAUGUUAUUACUUAUUUUCUAUGAAAAAUCUUUCAUAUGUUUCAUUUUAAUAAUAAUAAUAGUAGUAGUAGUAAUUAACUAUUAAACAAUAAGUUGGCCCAAAGUUUAAAUGUUAACAUAAUGUAUUAUAUGUUAAACAUUAUAAUAAAACAUGAAGACAUAGCCUUUAGUUGUUAAAUAUCAAAUAUUACAAUAUGUUAUUUAUUUAGGUAUUAUAGUGCUUAUUAUAUCUAAUAUAUCAAUAAAUUUAUAAAGUAAUUUAGUUUUAAAUAUAUUGUAUUGAUAAAUAUAGUUUCAAAAUAAUUGAAUACUAUACUGUAAAAUAUAAUUAUAUAAAAUCAUAUUAUAUUUUGUUUGAUUUGCAUUAUAUUUAUAAAUGGUUACAAUACUAUAUUGAAUAUGAAAUGUUUUUAUAUGGUUUUAAUUUAUAUUUAAUACUUUAUAUUGUUUUGAUUUUUAAUAUUUGUAACCUAAGUCUAUGCUGAUUUUGACAUUUAUUGUUAAACUAUACAUUUUAUUGGUUUUAUAAGUUUAUGUUAAAUUAAAUAUUAUUAUAAAUUUAUUCUUAAAUUAGUUUAGUCAAUGGUUUUUUAUUAUAAAAAUUUAAUCUUGAUACAUGGGCAUUACUCACCUACUUAUAAAUAAUAUAAGAGAUGGAGAUAUUGCUUUUGAAACAAUCAUUUUUUUUUGUUUUCAUUGUGGGAAUAGAUAACUCGUUUUCUACUACUGUUUAAAAUACCUGGAACCUAGAAAGAAUAUGGGAAACAAAAAUGAUAUCAAACAACACCUUAGAUUUCAUUGAAACACACUUAGAGGAUCUAACAACAUCUGAAGAUUGAUGGAUUUUUCUUUGCUAUAGAAGCCAUUUGGUCAUCUAUUUAUGGUUGUACAUAAUUUGAGAUGCAAGCUGUUGAUGGAUACUGCUUUUGUAUGCUUGUUUUGAUGCCUUAGCAAAAUAUCCACAAGACCAUAUGCUGUUUUAUUGUCUGUUUGUUUGUUUGGAGAUCUGAUGGCAUAGCUGAUGUAGGCUGGGCGGUCGAGCUAUGUCUCCGUAGGUAUACUUUCAACAGUUCCAGAUCCCGGUGCAAUGGCAGCAGCUGUGUGGUACAGAGCAGCAGCUUUGGCUGUGAAGGAUAAAUAUCGAGCUUCAUGAACUGAUGUAUCAAAAUUUUAUCCUCAUCUUCCAUUACAGUUCAUGUGCCCUUUUUGCUGCAGAUUGACCAAUCCAAGUUUUGUUUAUGAUUAAUACUACCAGAUGGCUUUCCGCAUAUGCAUUUUUUUUUGGGUGCAUAAAGCUGAGAGAGCAAGUUUCAUCCAUACAUAUCAUUGAAUAUUGAAUGUUUUCGGAAAAUGUAAAUUCAACAUCUAAAUAGAGUGAUUCAAAAUAAUAUUUAUGUUGUAAUUUGCAUGGGUCAAAUCUUGUCUUCUGAUGGCCUUCGUUGACAGGUGUGUCACUGCUUUAUUUCAAUAUAAUUGAGUUUUUCCGAAUCUUAUAUCAUGGAAGCAUAAUGUUGCAUGAUUUUAGGUCAAGUAUUUGAUUUGCUACAAAAUGAAACUGCGCUUCUGAUAGAACUACUAGCACCUAUUUGAAGUCUGAUUUUGCUGGAUGACCAUAUAAUACAUUCUAAGUUUAUCAGAAAGGGUCGAUUCUGGUAUGUUUUAUUGCUCCUUGGGUUAGUAGACAAAUCUUUUCAGAAAAAAAAAAAAAAACAAAAGAUGCAUCUUUGAACCUUCGGCAUUGUUUUAGUGGAGGAAAAGUUGAAUGAGUUUUCAGGUAUUAUUUAUUAUCAUUUUUUUUUCAUUUAUGUAAAGAUUAGGUUAUGAAUUACGACCGUGAAAAGAAAGUUUUCUGUUUGUUAUUAUCGAUUCAGAGAUGACAAAUGGGAUUUAGUUGAAUUGGUUUUGGAUUGAGUUUUAUCAGGUUCAAGUUAUUUUUUCAUAUUAAACUGAAUAUUAAUUUUUCAAACGAUACAAUAGUAUUAACAAUAAAAUAUCUUAUUUUUUUCUUAUUUUGAGCUAAAUUAUAUUAAGAUCAUCUUAAAAUAAAACAAUGUCGCAACGUAAUUUUUAAAGAUAUAUAUAAUUAAUAUCAUAUGUUCACUCUUAUCAUGUCAGGUCUUGUCAAAUCAUUGUAACCUUGGUUAGAGAUUAAUAAUUAACUUAAGGUAUUUUAAGUAUCUCAUAUUUAAAAGUAGAUAUUGAAUGCUCAAUCAUUAAUUUUAUUUAAAGUAGUGUCUUAAUAAGCUAUUUUUCUUUCUUGCAAACCAAAUAAAUUUCGUAGUUUCUCUUCUAAUGACUCUUUUGUCCAAAAUGAUGGCAAACGUUAUCCCUUUUUAUGCUGCAAGUACACUCUUGGGCCUUGGCGACAAAGUCCUUUGCUUUCUUUCUCUUCAUCUUCCUAGUUGACUUCUUUUUUAAUUUGGAAGCUCUUUUCUUUUGUGAUGAAUUUCUCAACUGUGUUCAACAUAUUCAACAAUGAGGGCAAGCUAGCUUCCAAUCUAUUAAUAAGAAAGUUCAUAAUGAAUUGUGAAAAGUUAUCUAUUAGAGAUUAUAGAACCAAGUCAACACAAAACUCAUGGUCCAUGACAAUUUAGACGCCUUGAUAGAACUAUCUUUUACCAUUUUACAAAAGAAAAGUUCCUUUGACGCCUCAUACCUUUCAAUGACUCUUCUUAUCAAAAAAGUUUUAUAAGUGUAAAAUCAUGAUUUGAGCAUCUAUAUUCUCGUGCUAUUUCUACAAUUCACAAGUCAUGCUAGCAAGUAUAUCACAUGUUGCCAAAUCAUCAUCAUCCUUAUGAGUCUACCACUUCCAAGACCUUAUCAUCGAUGCCUUCAACAAAGACUAGAGGAACAACAUUCUCAAGGAUAUAUGUUUGCUUUACAAUUGAUCCUUAUUUUGAAAUGACAAAAGUCAAAUGACCAAAAUAUGAGGGGUUAAAUGUAUUAAGACUUCACAAAAUCCCUUAAGCGUUUAAAAGAAAAAUGACUUGCGCAAAGACCCAAUAGGCAUAGCCCACCAGGCCCUAGCAAGCCUUCUUGUAUGAACCUGUACAUUAGUCCAUGUAUCAUCCAUACUCAUUUUUUAAGAUCUAUAAAUCAUAAUGUUCAAAUAAUUACUUCAUUGAAAUCAAUUCAUAAAAUCCAGGUAUAUACUCAUAAUGGUAUUCAUUAAUCGGAAUAUACAUAAAUAGUUUGCCAAACGAUUCUUAGCAAGUUACAUCCAGUUUACAUGUACACAUUCAAAGACUCUGACCGUCAGCGGAGUGACUAUGGGCGUGGGUGCUAACAUUUAGUAUCAUGACAAACCUAUCGAGCAAUGGAUAAGGAGGAGCACCUCGUCCUAAGAUCUAGUCACCUUUAACUCAAAGAACUUAAAACAUGAAGUUUAAAAAUGUGAGUAUAAACCCAGUGAGUGAACAUAAGAAGGGAACAAGCAGUGACAAGGAAUGGUUUAGAAAACAUGAUGCACUUAUUUAAAAACAAUGCCAUUUAGUUCAAGUUCUUAUUAAAAUCCCUCUAUUAAACCCUUGGUUGUAAAAUCAUUUAAUGAUGAAGGAACCGUAUUCAGCAUGAAAUUGCAAUUAUCCAAGUAAGGCAGUAUAAAUAGAAUGUUUCUCGUUGCAAUAAAAUCAAUUUGAAAAUAACGGUAAAUUUUCAAAAUUCAUCAUUUGCAUCUCACCCAGCUCAUGUGCAUCCCACCACAUCGUGCACAUAGCCGGACAGUAUCACCAUCCAUCUCCCUCACCACCGUCAUCACUGACAAGUGCACACUCACCCGCACAUGCAUGGUUGCAUUUGUCACACAAUGGUACCAUUUAUGACAUAGUAUAUAUAUAUAUAUAUAUAUAUAUAUAUAUAUAUAUAUAUAUAUAUAUAUANNNNNNNNNNNNNNNNNNNNNNNNNNNNNNNNNNNNNNNNNNUAUAUAUAUAUAUCAGCAUUAUACAAAAACAUAUGGAUUCAUCCUUUUACACAUUUCACAUUUCACAACAUCAAACAUUUUAUGUGUGAGACCUUGACCUUUAUAGACUCGUAAAGGGAAGUAUACGCGAUAUCCCUAAUCAGGGGUAAUUUCGUCAUUUCCUUAGUAAACCCAUAAAAGUAAGAUUUUUAAACAAUGUUAUGGCCUAAGUAGGCCUAAGGCAUAAAUGGAUGGUGAAAUUAGGGGUAAAAUGAAAAGGAAACAAAACUUUUGGUGAUUUUCACGGUAGGGGCAAAAUGGUCAUUUUUCACCUCAGGUUAAAAUUUUAAGUUUUCAUGAACUUGAGUAUGUCUAGACCAUUAUGGACCUUGUCCCGGUGUCAAAGGAGUAAAAAGAUUGCACAAAGGGUUACAUGAGAACAAGCUAACUCAUCAAGGGCAUUUUCGUAAUUUUAAGGGAAUGGAUAAGUUUGGCUUAUAAAUAUCUUUCUUCCAGCAGCUUCUUCUCCCAUUUUCUAGCAGCUUGUCUUCUUCUUCCUUCUUCCCUCUCACAUUUUUUUAAAACCUCCAUGGAAGCUUGAUAUGGAGCUUGCAUGAUUUUCUCUCUCUAGCUCUAGUUUUUAUACCUUUGAGCCCUCAUGACUAGAACCAUUGUAUUAUUUCACUCUCUCUCCUUAAAACCCUUGAAAAAAAAAAUCUUAUUUUCAUAUUUCUCUCACUAGUUGGGCGUUCUAGAGAGAGAAAGAAAAUUACCCAAUUGAUUUGGAAGCAAUUGGAAGAGAAUUUGACUACAAAGGAGCCCUAGGGUAAGUGAUGAAUUAAGCUUGAUUUUUAGCUAUGAAUAAUGGCUAGUAAUUGGGAUUAUGAGCUAUUUUAUUGUUGAGGAUGUUCAUUCAUUUUAUAGUGAUUUAGAUAGUGAACAUAGAUAGCCAUUUAAAGUGGCCAUUGAAGACUAGCUAAAAGAUAGCUUUUAGGGUUUAUAGUAUGUGAGUUAACAUAAUGGUGAUGUUAAUGUGAUGGUAGGUUCUAAUGAAGUCCCAUCCUUCCAAUUAGAUCAUUAGGGGAAUUAGAGUCAACUAAAGGCUCAACAAUAAAUCGGUGAAUGGAUUGCCUAUCAAAACUAUUUUGAGAAUGUGACUGUUUUGUACAAAGUGUUUGAAUGAUUUUAUACAACUUUUCUUAAAAAUGAGUGCCUUGGGAACAAGCUUUUGAGAAAUGGUUUAUGUUGUGACAUGUGACUAUUAUUGAUUCAUGCACUACCACAUUGUGUUGAUAUAUAUGUAUGAAUAUAUUGUUGUGUAAUGACAUGGACUCGACUCUGUGCGAGUAGGGAGUGCGCAUAAGCCGAGGAUGACCCGGUUGUGUGCUAGUAGGGAGUGCGCAUAACCCGGUGAUGACCCAACCAUGUACGAGUAGGGAGUGCGCAUGAGCUGGUGAUGAUGAUGAUGGGAUGGUAUGCAUGAUGAUGAUGGGUAUACGUAUACAUAUAUACAUAUGUAAAUAUGUGUGUUAUAGGAAAUUAAUGAGUAAUGGUAUAUGGUUGUAAUGCAUGUGAAACUUGACAUGUUAAAAGGUGAAAGAUUGUUAUACGUUUCAUGUUGGUUUGGACAUUUCAGCAAGGUGGGUUUUCUUUGGGAGAAAUGGAAAAUUUUCAUUGGUGCCCUGUAUCUCGCUGCACCGAGAAACUCUCGGGUUUGAGAACCUUCACCAGAACUGGUUCUCGCUGCAGCGAGAUAGUCACUAUAGCUUCUUGCUGCAGCGAAAAGGAAUCUCGUUGCAGCAAGAAACUUUCUGUUUCAUCAGCUGAAUUUCACUACAGUAAGAAAGAAUCUCGCUGCAGCGAGAAACCUUCUAUUUCUGGGUUACAAUUUCGCUGCAGCGAAUUUAAUCUCGCUGCAGCGAAAAACUCUUUGUUUUGUCUCCUAUCUUGUCCAAUUGCUGCCUUAUUUUUCACUUCUUUGCUACCAUAUCUGAGCAUGGACUUCCAACAUUAAGGACUAAAUGAGUUAAGUUUAAAAUGAGGAGGUUUAGUGAGAAACCCUCAGCCAGUUGAGAAACCCUCAUUCGGCUAAUAACUAAAUCCCAACGUUGCUGCAGCGAGAAUGCCUUUCCGCUGCAGUGAAGAUUCGUUGUCGUAUUUGACUUCCUUGCGUAUCAUUGAAGCUUUCAUUCUUCAAAUGGUUCGUUGUGUAUGGAUUCAUGAUCUUCAAAUGAUUAAUCAUUUAAGGGCUUGUUGAAGGGUUUUUAAUAUGAAUGGAACUAAAUUGCAUUGUUUUGAAACAAGUGCAUCAUGAUUUUAAAUUCUCCCUUGUUGUUAUUUGUUCCCUUCCUUGUUCACUCACUAGGUUUAUACUCACCAUUUUCAACUUCACGUUUUCAGAUCACGAGGCAGCCGGUAAUUAGGAUGAGGUGUCCUUGUAGACUUGUAUCUAUUUUUUGAUAGGUGUCUCGACAUUCAGUAGCUGUAUAUUCGUCCGAGUCCCUCCUCUGAAAGUUGAGUAUUAUUUUGUUGUGUAUAGACGAACCUAAUGUAAAUUGUUAGGAUACAUGUUGUAGACAAUGUAUAUACACUUGUUUAGUAUGCCAGUAUGAGAUGGCAAUGUGUAGUAUUAUUUUGAUUCUAAGUUAUGAAAUGUGACUUAGCAGUUUAUGAUAGAAUGAUAAACAUGUCAGAUUAAUAGGCUUGCUUGGGCUUAGUGGAUUACGUCCAUUGGGCCCAUGCAUCGAUCAUGGCCCGAAAAUUGGGUCGUGACAUUAUCAAGGGCUUGUUCCUAGGAAAUUUUAAAGCAAAAAUCGAUAAAAUUCCGAAAUGAUUCAUUGAAACAUGUAAACAUUUCCCCAAAACAUUUUGAAAUGCAAGUUCACUCAUCGGUACUUGUUGAACCUUUAAUCGACUCUAACUUCCCUAAUGGUCCAAAUGGGGUUGAGGGGCCUUGUUGGAACUUAUCAUGCACAAAAACAUCAUAGCCAAUCCAAUUCACAUUAAUAUCACUGAAAAAGCUGUUUCCCAUAUCAAGCUUCAAUAGCCCUUCUUAUCUAUCUUCCAAUUACCAUUUGAUUGGCUAUUUCGUUUCUCUACUUUAGUAACACUAGAAAUAGAUAAACAAUUUCAGCAAAUAACACAACUCAUAACUCUAAUUACUAGCCAUCAUCAACAACUUAAAACCAGUCCUAAUUCAUCACUCAUCUUAGUGGAUUGUAAUGAAAUUUCUUCCCAAAAGUCCUCAAGCUAACAUGAAACCUCUUUUUCUCUCUUUACAAAGUUCAACUAGUGAGAUAAAGUAUUGAAGAAAGACUUUUAAGGGUUUGUUUAAGGUAAAGGAGUAAAAGAGUAUGAAAAACCCUACAACAGGGUGUGUAAAGCAUGAAAAUUAAUGUUAGUUUGAGAGAGUGAUGGAAGCUUGAGAGAAGCUUUCAUGGAAGAGGAGAGAAACGUGAGAUGGGAGGAGGAAGAAGAAGAAGUUGCUGGAGAAAUGUAGAAGCUGCUAGAAAAGAUGAGAUCUUUAUAGUUAAAGCUUAUCUAAUUUCUCAUGCAAUUAUAAUAAGGCCCUUAACAAGGCCACUUAUCUUCCUCAUUUUCUUGUGCAAUCUCUUUACUCUUUUGACACUGGAAAAAGGUCCAAAAUCCUCUAAAAUAGGUCCCUUAAAUAGCCCCUAAAAGCCCUAGCUUCAAAAAUCCCAUAAACUUGUUAUUUGUAGAAAUUACAGUGAGGGUCGCGACUCUCAAUUUCUAAUGCCGUGGCGCUCAAAGGUUCUACCAAAUUUUGUUCCUCUAGUGCAGUACUUUCACUUAAACAAAGAUUUUGACUACCUUUCCACCAUAACUGGGCAAAGUGGUAAACAUUAAAGUUGUAGCCCUACCUCUUAGCUUUCUAAUGGUUCAAAAAUCAUGUCAUUUGGACUUGUGUAAUGGGAGAUAUACUUGAAAAACAAAAAUAUAUGCAAAUAGAGCAACAGUCCAUUGUGCACCUUUCUUCACCAAUUGAAAUUAUUUUUUAUCCUACUCCUAUAAAAACAUAAAAUAAAUAUAAAUAUCAUAAAACUAGCAUUGUUAGCCACCAUAUCAAGGUAUGGGGUACUACAAAAACAAUAGAGAAAAAAGCUUAAAAUGCUUAAGGUACCGAGACUUCUUGAGUAAGUAUCGAUAUAUCAAGCUUAAAAUGCCUCAAAAAUAGCCUAAGGAAGCAAAGGUAUUGAGACAUCAUGUGAAGGUAUCGAGACAUCGCUUCAGGAAUGCUAAUUUCCAAAGAGCAAGUCUGAAAGUAUCAAGACUCAAGCUUUAACGUAUCGAGACUUCACCACCAGGCUCUAAUUUCCAAAAAGAAAGUUCGAAAGUAUCGAGACCCAAGCUUCAAUGUAACAAGACUUCACCUCUAGGCUUUAGUUUUCAGAACAAGUGUCGAAGUAUCGAGACCCAUUGUUAAAGUAUUGAGACCUUAUUUUUAGAACUUCAAAUUCUAGAGAGUAAGCGUCCAAGUAUUGAGAUCAUCUUGUAAAGUAUCAAGACAUCAUCUCCAGACUUGAUUUCUAGAGAGCAAGCUACUAUGUAUCAAAGAUUCUUCAGUUUGGGAAAUGCUAAGGAUGAACAAUUAUCGAGACAUGCGAUAGAGGAAUCGAGACCUUAGUUGAUUCUGGCAAUUAAAGUAUCGAGACUUGUAUCAAAGGUAUUGAUACUUCACCUCAUACAAGUUAGACAAGACAUGAAUAAUGGCUACAUUCUCGAGCACACUUCCCUAAAUGGCUAUUUUUGAAUACCAACACAAAAGUAGAAGUCAAAGGCACAACUUUCAAAAGAAAGAACACCUAGAGAAGAAUUGUCAAGCAAAAGUGAAAGAUCAAACAACAAAUUCCUUAAGAAUCACUCUCUAAAUCAAGUGUUUGUUGACUCAAUAUUUUUAUCAUCCCUUAUUCAUUAAUGUCUAACUUCACUACUUAAGUGUGCAAUAUAAAGUUGACCCCUUCAAUAAAAUUAGUGCUUAAAGGCAAGAUAUAAUAAACAGGUUAAUCAGUUAAAGAGAGAAAGAUGAAAAGGGUUAGUGAAGACAAAACUUUAGUAAUUGUUUAACAAGAAGUCUUAAUCAAUUAAGGCAUGACAAGGUGACAAGUUAAAGCAAAACAAAAAAUCUUAAUUAGUUAGCACUAAGCUUAACUGAUUAAGAAGGUGUUGGAAAAAGGGCAAUAGAAGUGUGUUAAUUGGCUAAGGCAUGGGGUUAAUCAAUUGAGCACAAGACCUGAAAAACCUCUAAGCACCAAAAUUCAAAUUUGAAAUAAGUCUGACUAUUGAAGGAAGCCAAAAUUGAGAAAUUCAAAUUUAGAGAUUUUCUAACUUAUUAGAGCUGAUGUUAAUAGAUUAAAGCUGAAGGAAGUGAAGCUCCAAUCAGCUGAAGGGAGAGUUAACCAAUUAAAAUAAUCCUGCUAAAGUAGAGAACCUUGAAGACAAAGAUCUCUUAACCAUUUAGAGUCGGUUGUAAUCAGUUAAUGUAGAGUACAUAGCAACAAGAUAGCACAAGGUAGAGAAGCUGUAAUUGAUUAGAGUUGCCAGUAACCAGUUAGUCGAACUUUGUUUGCCCAAUUGAAACAUUAGAGGACAAAAUAACAGCUAGAAUGGCAUCAAAGUUCUUUAAAGGCUAGAAUAUGUCUUUAAUAGAAAAAUCUGACUCCCUAAGUAUAAAUUGAAGCUCCAAUGGUCAAAGAAGGUAGAUUGAAGCACAAAAGAGCCAUUUUGAGCAAAAAGCUAAAUAACCUUCACCAAAAACAUGUCUUUUAGUCCUAUUUCAGAAAAAAAGUGUUUAAGCUUGCUUGUAAUCGUUCCAGAUUUGUAAAGAUUUCUAAUUGUACUUUUUUUCUUCUUUUUCUUGAGAAUUUAGAGUGUGGGAAGCACUCUAAAAGUCAUUGUAAGGUAUUAGAGAUUGGGUUAGAAGCUUACCUUGUAAAAGCUUGGUGGAAGCUGUUAAUUCCAUUGGUAUAGGGAAGCUAGGAUUGAAAAUCCUCGAUUGGGAUAUCAAGGUAGUGGAUAUUGGUCAAGGGGACCAAACCACCAUAAAUCCUUGUGCAUUGUCCAUUUCUCUUUAUUUUUCCUUACUUGGGGUCUUUUAGCUACUACAAGCUUUAAAUCUUUCUUCCUUCAAUUGAUUAGAAGUUUUACAACUCAAAAAGAGUUGACCUUAAAAUUUUUAGUGCUAUUCACCCCUUUCUAGCACACCAACGGGACCAAUAGUGUUCAUCAUCUUUGCUUACUUAUGCCUUAAAUUCCUAUGCUUCUUUGGUAAGCCUUCAUUCUCUCAUUGUAUACUAAUUUAUUUAGCCUAUUUAGAGGCAUUUAAGUUUUCAUCCUAUCUUCUUUGUAACCCAUUGUAGAGGGUAUACCUUAACCUAGAAAGGUAAUGCAUUUGUAAAGUUUAUACCUUAGCCUAGAAAGGUACUGUAUUUGUGAGUGGUUAUGUGAAAUCUCACCUCGAGUAAAAGGAUAAGUUAGGAAAUCCUUAAGUCAGCAUAUAGAUUACAUAUUUUGAAUAUCAAACUUAAUUUUAACCUUCGAAAGAAUUCAUUGACACAUUUGUUGACUCCAUAUAUUUUUUAUGAUAACAAAACAUUCCUUAUUCAUUAAUGUCUAACUUUACUAUUUAACUGUUCAGGAUAAAGUUAAUCCCCUUAAUAAAAUUAGUGUAUAAAGGCAAGAUCACAUAAUAGAUAGGUUAAUCAUUUAGAGUGAGAAAGAAGAAAUAGGUUAGUGAAGACAGAACUUUAGUAACUGAUUAACAAGAAGCUUUAAUUAGUUAAGGCAUGACUGGGCGCCAGGUUGAAGCAAAAUAGAAAAAUUUUAAUCAAUUAACACUAGGCUUAACUGAUUAAGAAGGUGCUUGAAAAAGAAAAAUAGGGUUAUGCUAAUUGGCUAAGGCAUGGGUUAAUCGGUUAGAGCACAAGACUUGAAGAAGGUCCAAGUUGUUGGUCCCAAUAAUAUAUGCUAGAGGGGGGGUGAAUAGCAUAAAUCGGCUCUUGACAAGAUGAGGAACUAAUUUCCAACACAAAGAAAAUAAAAAUGGAGUAAACAAUGCACAGUAAUUUAGAGUGGUUUGGUCUAAGACCUACAUCCACUACCUUGAUUAUCCAACCAAGGAUUUUCCCUACAAAUCCACUAAGAUUCGGAGAAAUUCACAAGCUUUCACCAAGCUUUACAAUGGCUUUUACAAGGCUCAGCCAAAACCUUUUUCUCGGGCUAAACUAAAACCCAAAUUGGUUUUUCCAAGGCUCAACCACAGCCUACAACAAUCAAGCUGUCCCAAGCUUGAAUAACCCCUUAGAGUGACUUCCUCACUCUUAAGAAUUCAAGAAAAGUAGUAAAAGAAAGUACCUAUGAUCAUUGGUUGAUUUGAGUGGUACAAGAUUGAAUGCAAAUUACAAAUUCAAAGAAUAGGUGUUUAAGUGCAGACAAGUGCAGUGAAGAUUUUUUGGUUUUUCAACUCUCUAUAGCUCAAAUUUCAUUCAUGGUUUCUAAAAAAUUGUUUCUAAUUAUUGGUAGACCCUUUUAUACUUGAAGAAAUAUCUCUGAUGGUAGUUUGACAAUUUUCUAGCCGUUGGAGACAGUUGAGAGUCGGCUCUAGCCGUUACUCUGUCUUUUAGUGCAGAUUUCAAACUUGCAGGCAGAAUGCUCUUAGUCGACUACCUGAUAUCUUAAUUGACUAGGUUGUCUUUGUUUUUCAAACUCUUCAGCCCACCAUUUCUCCAAUUUGAAUCUUGGCCAACUAUCAUUCUUCCUUAUUCAACUAAUGAGCUUUCUCCUUGUUAAUCAGUCAUGUCUCAUUAUUUUUAUCUCGCUUUUUCUUUUAAUAUACACUUUGAAGGAUUGAUUUAUUAAUUUCAUACAUUAAUUUUCCUACACACUUAAGUAAAGGCAUUAGACACAAAUGAAUGGGAAUGUUUUACUAUCAUAAAAAACUAAUGGAGUAAACAAUCUCCCCAUUUUUUGAUAAUGACAAAACAUUCCUUGAUUCACAGCAUAAUGUCUUUUUACUCAUUUUAGUUUUCUACAGAAAAUGAGGAUUGCUCCCCCUAAGCAUAUGCUCCCCUUUAGUGUGUGCAUAUUUAUUCCAUCAAAUUUUAUUCUUGUCAUAUAGAAAAUGACAUUAUACAUUUAGAGAAUACAUAUGUGUAGAAUUUUGGGUGAUUUAUAGCAAUGAAUGUUGAUAGUUUUUCAUAGAAAAUUCAGCAAGGUCUGUCAACAGUAUAUAGUCAUCAGAUUUGAUCUAUUCCCUUCAUAAUUUAGUCAACACACUAUUCAAAACAUCCAUAAUUAUUUGCAAUCGCAAGUUGAUCAAUUAUCAGCAUACAACAGCAAUUAUCAACAUGCAGUUCAAUAUGGUUCAGCAGCAGAUUUUGUUAACAAUAGUUAAAAUAUCAUGGAUAGCAGAAUAUCAACAAACAUUCAAUUUUCAACAAACAAAUAUCAUAGAUAUAUCAGCAUUCAUGUCUCACACUACCAUAUAAACAACAAAAUUAAAAUUGAGUGUUCAAGUGCCACCAUGGCACAAAUAGCAGUUAAUCAAAAAAUGUUUCGAAAUUGCCCCUGAACUGUUUUUGCUUCCUAUCCCUUAUUUUUCUAAGUUCUUGCUCUUGAUUCAUUUCUGCUUUCUUUUCUUUUCUAAGUUCUUUCCUAGUUCCUCCACCUUAACAUUUUUUUUAAAUUUAUUCUCUAGUUCUUGCACCCCUGGUUUUGCCAUUCUACUCCCCCUUUUUGUUAGCAUCAAAUGAAGGGGCUUCUAUUCAUCUGAUGUGUUAGAGGGAGAGUAUUCAGUGACAUAAAAAGGGUUUAGAGGAAAAAGAGAGGGCUCUCAAAGAGGUGAUGACUUUCUAAGGGAAGGUUCUAGUGAGGACUUGUUUGAGACAGGGACUGGACUAUGAGGAAAAGAGGCUGAAACUAGUCUGGAUUUCUCUACCAACCUGGAAGACUUUUUUCUCUUGAGAAAAACUGUCUUGGUGGCCAUAGUCUUCUUUCCCUUGGUUGGUGGUUUUGCCUUUGUUGGUGGUGCUGCAGUGGCUUUUUCUUUCCUAGAUUUUGCCUUUACUUUAGGAGCUGAUGUAGGUUUCUUCCCUUUUCCUAUAUCUCCACCAUCCUUUUGAGUUUCUGUUCUAGCAGUGUCUUUUUCAGCUUGUCCCUCGUUAACCAUUUGAUGGAAGAUAUCCAUAAUGGAUAUUUGUUCUGAGUUGGGAGGGCAGGCCUGCUGUUUCUCUAUUUUUGAACCAACCACUUCAGUCCCUUGUUCUGAUUCAUUUUUGCUUUGAAGUUUCGAAGAGGGUGUCUUCGCUGGCUGAUCAACCCCUUGGUGAGAGUCUUCAGUCUGCAAAACGGGACUAGAAGAUUUGUAGGUGGAACCUUCAGCUUGAAUGCCAUGACUUCCACCAUGAGGAGCAAACUUUUCUGUUGGCUCAGUUGAACCUUCAGCACCUUGCUAUGCUGGUGCAUUGCUAGGUGUUGCAGAAGUGUCUGCAACCAUAAGUUCAGGUGGCUCCUUUUCUUCCUUCUUCAGGUCAUUUUCCAAUUUUGUAAUUUUCUCUUCAAUUUUCUGUAAUCUUUCUCCUUAGUCAGUAAGCUUCCCAUCGAUUCUCAUAAGAAGAUUAAAAAUAACUUCAUUUGAGAAUCUGAAUGGUGCUCCCUCUUGUUGAGCAAGCAAGCUGGAUUCUCUUCCAGGACCAGUCUUGGGGGUCUUAAUGAAUCUUUCCCCAUCGAGUAUAUACCCCAUUUUGAUCAAACUGCCAUAGUAAAUGGCUUGAUCUCUGGUUUUAACCAUGUCCAUUUCAUACCUCUUUGCCCAAACUCUUUUUUUCUGCACAAGAGAUGUGAUGACAUUCCCAUAAGGCAAGUUGACCUUAUCAAGUCUGCAAGCUCCUCUCAUUUUUUCAAUCAUAAACCUUCCUACAUUCAGAGAAACCCCAUUGAAGGCAUGUUCCAUUAGCCAAAGAUCCUGAAGGCUAAUGUAACUCAAACUUCCACUUCUGCCUUAAAUGUUUGCUACUAUAAAGUAGUGUAAAAUCUUAAUAUGGGGGCUGAUUAUCAAACUUGAAUUGCUCUUUGAAGAAUACUUUUCCUUUCUCCUGGUGAUGAUUUCCCAUAUUGAGGAUUAAUCAUACUUUUCUAGGAACUCAUACUCACCUUCUUCACACUCAAUUUUUAGUAAGCUUCAUAAAUCCUUAGUAGUGACAACAAAUUCUUUCCCAUUCUAAUAUACAUUCAGACCAUCUUCGACAUAAUCAUUAGAAUCAUCUAAUUCCUUUUCUUUUAAAGUAAUGCCAGAAUAGAAUUCCUUUACCAGACUUGCACUAUAGGAUCUAUUCUUUAAAGGUGCUAUAUCCCUUCAGUUUUAGUUCAUCAAAAUAGUCGGAUAAACUAGUCUGAAUCUCUAAGUUCUCAUCAAAACUCUUCCAGUCAAUAUAUUUGCCACAGGAAAUUGGUGCAUUCUCAAUAUUUUUUAACCUUAGUUCAUGCAAUCUAUUUCUAAACUUAGAAGACAAUGAACUAGUACCUUUCUUGAGUGCAGGUUCCUUGUCCUUCUUCUUUUCCAUUUUCUGCCUCUUAUUUUUUAGUUUCUCCGAUAUCUCUUUUACUGACGCAGACAUGAUUUUCUGUUUCUUCUUCAGACUUUUCAUUUCUGUCCCUUCUUCUAGUGGUCUCUUCCCUUUCUUCUUUUCUACUAUUUCUUUACUUUGUGGAGAUAUCCCCAUUUUGAUUCAAGAAUUUUUCUGACAGGGGUUUGAGUCAGUUUCAGAGAGGAAAGUGUAGAAAGAUGGGUUUCAGUUUCAGAGAAUGCAAGGGAGAUGGGUGAAGGCAGUUCAGUUUUUCAAAGGAAAUCGUCUAUCUUCCCCUUAAAUACCUGUCAGAUUUUUACUAUACAAAAUUUGAAAUGUUCCCUCUAAUGUUGGUUAUUUCCCCGACUGUUUUCCUUCUUUUCUUUUAUUACCUGAUAAACCUAACGUUUCUUUAUUUUACUUUUUUUUCUCUAAAUUGAUUGAGUCUUACUAUUUAAUGCUAACAGAAUACUCUUAGUUGACUAAGAUUUACCUUAGUUGACUAAUUGCAUUCUGUGUUUUGUGUAAGAGCCAAAAGUUUUCCUAGAAUUCCUUCAUACCAAUCAUCCUUAAAUUUCUUCUAAUUUCACAGAAUCUAUAUUCAUUUAGAGGAUUGGUAAAAAUGUCUGCUAACUGAUGUAAAGUGUUCACAAAUUCAAUCUUAAUAUCAUUUUUCAUUACAUGGUCUCUAAUAAAGUGGUGUCUAAUCUCAAUGUGCUUUGUCCUAGAGUGCUGCAUAGGGUUUUUUGAUAUAUUAAUUGCACUUGUAUUAUCACAGUAUAUUGGUACAUUAUGCAUAGUCAUUCCAUAGUCUUUCAGUUGUUGUUUAAUCCAAAGAAUUUGUGCACAGCAGCUACCUAAUGAUAUAUACUCUGCUGUAGCUGUAAAUAAAGCUACUGAAUUUUGUUUCUUGCUGGACCAUGACACAAGCAUGUUACCUAGAAAUUGACAUGUUCCACUGGUGCUUUUCCUAUCAGUUUUGCUGCCAGCAAAGUCAGCAUCUGAAUAUCCAACCAAACUAAAAGUUGAUUCUCUAUAAUACCAUAUGCCUAAAGUUUGAGUUUCUAAGAGGUAUCUAAAGAUUCUCUUAACAACUGUUAGGUGUGAUUCUUUAGGUUGUGACUGAAAUCUAGCGCACAAACACACACUAAAUUGAAUAUCUAGUCUGCUUACUAUUAAGUAAAGUAGUGAACCAAUCAUACCUCUAUAUAUCUUUUGAUCUACAUUCUUUUCUUUUUCAUCAAGAUCAAGUCUUGUGGAUGAACUCAUUGGUGUUGAGAUUGGUUUCAGUUUCAGCAUAUCGAACUUUUUGAGCAUAUCUUGAGUGUACCUUUCUUGGUUGAUGAAGAUCCCUUCCUCACUUUGCUUAAUUUGAAGACCAAGAAAGUACUUCAACUCCCCAUCAUGGUCAUCUCAAAUUCACCCUGCAUUUUUUUAGCAAAAUUCUUGCAUAACACCUCAUAAGUUGCACCAAAUACAAUAUCAUCCACAUAUAUUUGUACAACAAUUAAAUCAUUUAAAUAUCUUUUAAUGAAUGAUGUAGUAUCGAUGCUACCUCUAAUAUAACCUUUUUCAACUAAAAAUUUUGAAAGCCUUUCAUACCAAGCUCUAGGAGAUUGUUUCAAUCCAUACAAGGUUUUAUGAAGUUUGAAAACAUAAUUUGAUUUUUCAACAUCUUCAAAACUUAGAGGUUGUUCAACAUACACUUCCUCUUGAAUGAUUCCAUUUAAAAAUACACUUUUUACAUCCAUUUGGUACAAUUUGAAGUUCAUAAAGCAUGCAAAAGCUAACAACAACCUUAUGGCUUCAAUUCUAGCUACAGGUGCAAAAGGUUUCAUCAUAAUCUAUUCCUUCCUCUUGAUUGUAACCUUGUGCUACUAAUCUAGCUUUAUUUCUAACUACAUUUUCUUGCUCAUCUACCUUAUUUCUAAACACCCAUUUGGUGCCAACAAUAGGGUGAUUUGAAGGUCUAGGUACCAAUGACCAUACACGGUUUCUUAUGAAUUGAUUAAGUUCUUCUUGCAUGGCCAUUAUCCAACUUUCUUAUUUUUCAUCUUCUUCAAAGUUUUUAGGCUCAAUUUGUGAUAUAAAGGCUGAAAACUCACAAGUUUCUCUUGUUGCUUUCCUAGUUCUAACUCCUUGUGAAAUGUCACCUAUUAUUUGGUCUUGUGGGUGGUCUCUUACAAAUCUCCAACUUCUUGGAAAAUCAUCAUGCUGAUUUUUUGUUCUUUGCAGAUUUUCUAGAGGUGGAGUUUCAUUUUCUCUUCUAGGUGAGCUUUUUUUCAAUAUUUUUAUUAUUUUCUAAGCUCAUUUCUUCCAUUUGUCUUUCUAGGAUUUCUACAUCAUCAUCAUCAUCAUCAUAAAUUUCUUUUUGUAAAGCAUUUGACUCAUCAAAACCUAUAUGGAUUGAUUCUUCUACUGUUAGAGUCCUUUUGUUAAAAAUCCUAUAGGCCUUUGAGUUUAAUGCAUAUCCUAAAAAUAUUGCUUCAACACUCUUUGCAUCAAACUUCCCUAGGGGCUGUUUUCCAUUAUUCAAUACAAAGCACUUACAACCAAAGCUCCUUAGGUGAGAAAUGUUUGGUUUCCUACCCUUGUAGAGUUCAUAAGGUGUCUUAGAUAACAUUGGUCUUAUUGAGACUCUAUUAAGUAUAUAUGCUGCUGUGUUCACUACCUUAGCCCAAAAAUACUUUGGUAGCCUAUUCUCACAUAGCAUAGUCCUAGCCAUUUCUUUUAAGGUACAGUUUUUACUUUCUACAACUUCAUUUUGAUGGGGUGUUCUAGGUGCAGAGAAGUUGUGAUCCAACCCUUUUUCACUUUCAAAUUCUCCUCCAUGAUCACUCCUUAUGCUAACUAUGGUUAGCCCUUUUUCAUUUUUUACUUUCCUACAAUGACUUAUGAAAGCUGAUAAAGCAUCAUUCUUGUGAGUAAGAAAAUAAAUCCAAGUAUAUCUAGAAUAGUCAUCAAUUAUUACAAAGCCAUAAGAUUUUCCUCCUAAGCUAGUUGUGCUUAUUGGACCAAAUGGAUCAAUAUGCAGCAUUUCAAGAGGUCUAGAUGUCAAGCCCAGCUCUACAAUAUGUUUAUUAUGUCAUUCCUACAUAAGAAUGCAUGUUUGCUUACUUGGGUUCCUUGAAAAUCGUUAAAGGACGAUAAUGUACCAAAUGGUACAAUUAAGUUGAAUCAAGCCUUGAACUAGUCCAAAUAGAGAUUUUAAGAUGAAAUUGAGAAUUUUAAAACCAUAGAAUGACUUAAAAUGGUGAUUCGGAGUUCGAGGACCAAUUUGGAGUCAAAUUGGAAUUUUCAUGACUUAGGGGUAAAAUGGUCAUUUUGCUACUUGAGGUUAAGAUGUGAGUGUUGGAUGAAAUUUUUGACUAAGAUUGAUCAUUUGGAGUAUAAUUUGAGUUUGAGAAGUAAAGAAUUUUAAUUCUGGCAUUUUUCGAGCAUAAAGGGCAAAAUAGUCAUUUUACGACCCUAGGGGCAAAAUUUGAAUUUUUCACCACCCAACACUUGUCUAGCACAUGAAUUUCACCCAUUAUUAUUAUUGAUAAUUGAGGAAUUUUAAAUGGUGAAGAGAGAUUGCUUAAUAAGUAAGUAUGACACAUGGACAAAUGGAAUGGUGACACAUGGCAAAUUUUUGUCCAUUUAAUAUUUUCCUUUAUAAAGCCAAUUUGAACUCUUCCACAUUCAUUCUUAUGGCCGGCCAAAGCAAGAACAAAGGAAGAAAAGAAAGAACAAAAACCCUAGAGUGAAAAUUCAAGAGAAAAUUGGUGGAUUUCAAGUAAUCAAGCAAUCAAAGGUAAAAUUUCUUGAUUUUGACUUGUGAUCUACCUUUCCCAUAGAUUCUUUUGCAUUUUCCAUGGUUGAAUCACAUGAUUUCAUAAUGAAUCUCUUGCUAGAUGAACACUUAGAGAGAGAUUUUGAUGGUUGUUUUGGUUAGAUUUUAAGAUAUUCUAGUGUUUUUAGUUGAUUAGUGAUGUGUAGCAUGAAAAUCAAGCAAGAAAAAUUCAUGUUCUUCCAUAACCCAUCAUUGGCCGAAUUUUCCAUGUAGAGUGUGGAUGGUGGAUUUGAUUUUAUUUCAAGUGAAUUGGUUAAGAAAUGAUGAAUUACGGUGAGAAAAUCAAGUAGAAAAAAUCAUAGUAUUGAUGCACCCACCAUGGCCGAAAUUCCCAAGAGAAAAUGUGAAGAUGAUUUUGCCAUAUUUCAAGUUAUUUAAUUUGUGUUUGAUGAUUUGGAGUAUUGGGAGAAAAAUGGAAUUAUUUGGAGUUGAAUUGGACGUAUUGGCCAAUUAAUCGGGUGAUAGAUUGAAUUAGGCCAAUACCAUUUUAUUUAGGUACAUAAUUGAAUUUAUAUUGAACACCGUAUUUAGAUAGUUACCCAAGUAUUUCACAUCCCAUUUCAUGAAUUAGUAUAAAGCCUGAAUUGGUUUUACAACGGUUUAGCACAAAUGUAGUAAAUGGCUUAUUGUGCAUUAUGUCUAGGUAGUGAGUUUUUUGGCAAAAGUAAAGAGAUAGUACCUGAGGAUCAAGAAUCGGAGUACUCGGAAUUCGAUUUUCAUUACAAUGAGUAACCUUACUAUCAUCUUAAUUAUCUAAAGUGGUUUUUAUCCGAUUUUGUGAUUUUAUGGAAAAUGAGUUAAAUGGUAAAUCUUUGUGUUUUGUAAUUAAAAUGUGAUUUAAUGAAAUGANAUUGUCUUGAAAUUGAAUGAUUUGUUUAGAAAUAAAGUAAUUGGAGACUGUUUUCAUGUGUUGUAAAUUCAUGGUUUGAAUCGAAUGGCUGAUGACAAUAUUUGCAUGAAUGGCUGAAUUAGUAUUUGUGUUGAGAUAUAUGAACUCUGUAUUUGGCCUUGAAAGGCUAGAUUGUGAUAUAAUUGCCAUGUCAUGCGGUUGAAAUUUUAUUGAAUUGGUGGGUUUAGCUUGCUGCAGUGGGCGGGUUCCGUGGACCAGCCUAUUAGAGGGGCACGGUAACCCUGUUAUAUUCUUACGUCGGUAGGAGAGGCAUGUAGGGUAACACUUGAGGUACAACUUUAGAGUUCACUUCAUGGUAAACCACCAUGUGAGGGUGAAAUCAGCCAACGCCAAGGAACGGCUAUGUUUUCAAAAUAAAAACAUGAUUUACGCGUACAUGACUUUUUAAUAGCCUUGGCGGACUCGGUUGGGAUAGCCCUAGGCCAAGGUAUCCCUGACAACCCGAGUAUGAGAAUGAUUUUGGCACAAGCCAAAGUGUUAAGAAAUUCAUAAGCCAUGCUGAUUACUUGAUUUAUAUGAAUUGAUUUUAUUUGGUUGAAAUAAUUUGAAAGGUGAUGAAUUACAGUAUGAUGAUUUAUUUUAAUCUGUCUCCAUUUACUCAGCUUUAGAUAUUUUAGAUGGUAUUUGUUUACUCACUGGGAUUAUAUAAUCUCACCACCCUCCUUUCCACCCAUUUCAAGCUCAGGAUAGUCGGUAAAUAGCUCAUUUCGUUGAGGGCUACAAUUAGACUUGCAUCCUCAAAAACUGUAGGUUUACCGCUUUUGAUACUUUUGGUCGUUCGUGGGCCCACGUGUCACUGUAAAUUAAAUCUUAUGCUUUGGUUAUCUGUAUUACAAUAUGUAUGAAUUUAUUUAGCUAUUACGCUACAAAAAUUAUUUGCCGGUAACUCUAUAAAUAUUGUUUUAUAAGAAAAUAGAAUAUUUUAUUGAUUAUUUUUAUUAUAUUCAAAUAGUUAUAGUUUCACUUUAAAUGAAUGUUUUAGACAUCUAAACUUAUUUUUUAUUAUGAAAUAUGUGUUUUCCACUCGCAUACUACAUUUUUAGCUUGUUUCGAGAUUUUCGAGGAAAAAUGACCAAAAUGCCCUUGUGAGAAAAAAAUUAUUUUUCUAUUGUUUUGAUUUGGAAGUAGUUUAUAAUAUCUCAAAACAUGAUACUUAACAACUGUUGCUCACAGGGGAGGUGCAAAAACUUAUAUUAAAGCCUUGCGAGGUUCCGGUUGGUAUUUCGGGCAAUGAAUGUCUAUCGGGAAGUCGUGGCGGUUGUCACGGGCUCGAGAGGAGUACAGGGUCAUGAAAAUUACAUUGGUAUCAGAGCUUUUGGUUUUAAACAUCAGAGCUUUUGGGUUUAAAGUUGUUUUAAAGUUAUUUUAAAAAUUUACAGUGUCAAUGUAGCCCCAAGUUAAGUUAGGUUAGGUUGAAGAGAAUGCAUGCACUUAUAUAUAGAAACCUACCUGCUCUGGUGAUGCGUAAAUAAUUAAGAAAUUACUGCUUGAUUGCGUAUAGGUUUUGAGGUACGCUGGUUGCACACACCAUGUCUAGGAGAGAAGGUAGUCCCGAUGCCUCUCAUAGUAUUAGCGAAGGAUCGCUAGAUUCUUCUGCUAGGAGCCAAUGGCAACCCGAACCAAGUAGUCCAGAAAGUCCUGAUAGUAAUGACAUUAAAGUAAGCAUGAGAAAUUCCCUUUUGAAAGAAUCUAGGGAAUACGCUGAAGAAAGGGGAAAAAUAAUGAUAGCUGAAGGAGAUUAUCAUCCUAGGAAGGUACCUGUACCCGUUGUUUGACACGUUCCUCCAGGUUGUGGGAUAAAUGUAAAGGAACAAGAGGAAAAGAAUAAGGAGAAAAUAACUAUUGCAAAUUAUCCCCGUAGGAAAGUGAAUGUUGUACGACAUUUUCCUCCUGGAUGUGGAAUAGGUGCUGCACUUGUGAGUAUUGAAGAAUACAAGAGACUACAACAAGCUUGGAUUGAGGAACAAAGGAGAAACUCUCAGGAGGAGGAGGACCUGGAAGAGGAUCCUAAGGAUACUUAAUACCUUUGUUGAAGUUUGUAUCACUGUAAGUCUAGGCAAGUGUCGUUUAAGGGAAGAUAUAAUAGUUAUCUGUACAAAGAAGUUAAUAGUUUGGACUUUAAAGUGUAUGACUAGAAUGUAUUAUAAAAUAGAUGUUUAAGUGACAGGAGGUAUAUGGGAACUUUUGGUGGGACAGAAGUGGAUUAGCACUAUGACUAUUAAGGAAAGAUAUUUAUCUUAGUGGCAAGGUUGAUCAUCUUAGAUAAUUAUUGAAGACUGAUAUGGAAAGUCAUUAAUGAUUCAAGCAAUUACCCUAAUUAACAAUGAAUGUAUUUUGCAGUACUAAGAAAUGGAUACCGAUUAACAUGAUGAACUUUUGGAGUGAUAACCCUAGAUUUUGACGAGAUAUAAAAAGCCAUUUGAAUUGAUGAUGUUUGCUGAAAAUUAUUACUUAUCGUAGUAUGUGAGUUUUUGAUAUGAUUCCGAAUGCAAAGCUAAAUAAAUAAAAUUCUGGUUUAUGGGACAAAUUGUAUCAGAGAAGAUGAUUCUCGAGCAAACACAUUGAACUAGGAAAUUAUGUUAUAAUUAGUGAGUUCAGUGUGUUCUAAUUGCACAGGAUAGUGGGAGACAGUGUGGUAAGAUUAACAAUCAAUCAUGGAGAUGUGAAAUUGGGAAUCGUAAUUGUAGUUACAAUUCGAAAGGAUAUGGAAGAAAUCAAUCAGGCUCUAGAUGACAUUUUGAGCGAUUAAUGUGAUAAAGUCAAAGAUUGUAAGCUUGAGGAUGAAGGAAGUACAAAAUGAUGCCAUAACAUUAUCGAAAAAUAAUGUAAUACAAAUAUGGUCCAUUAGAGAUAAAUGAAGGAACUUGAAAAAGAUAAAUUUUUGAUUAAUAAGGAUUGUGAGUAUAAGUGUAGUGAAAGAUGAAUUAUUUUCAUGGUGUUUGUGCUGGAAGUUAAUAAACUAUUAGAGUUAUAAGACAAGGAAGAUGAUCAGAAAUGGAUAAUGAAAAUAGUGGGAUACCAUAAAUAAUAAGUAAUUAUGUGUAUGAUGAUGUAUAUAUUGUGAAUUCAUUACACCAUAUGGGAAAGAUGUCCUAAGGUGGGACUUGAAAUAUGUGGAUUUUUGGAUAUGCUCUAGGAGGGAACUUUUGCAUCCUAAAUUCGAAAUAUCUUGAUCUUAUAACUGUAAGGACGAGAUGUAAUAAUUAAGUGAAUUAUCCACUUUAUAAAUGUAAUUGGUUAAGAACCCUUUAUGGCUAGAAAGCAUGAGCAAAUUGGGAGUGGCAUGAAAAUGAAACUCACGAGUUGAAGAAUGGUCAUUGGUUUUGAUGCUAAGCUUUGUUAUUUGGAGUCUUAAGUGCAUUGGGGAAGUAAUAAGAUAGAGAUGAAGAGUGAAUUAAAAAGUUUCUUUAUUGCCUUAUAGAUUGGCAUGUAAGAGAAAGAAAAGUUAGAGAGUUUUUGAGAUGGCUACAUAAAAAAUAAAUUAACAUGUGGACUGUUAAGAUGAAUAAUAUGUUGACUGAAGUCAAAUCUUAAGAAAUAAAGAAGACAAGAGAUUAAGCCUUGUUAAAGACUAAAGAGAAAGCGAGUGAAAAGUUAGAUGAAUGUAUGAGAUAUUGAUAAGAGAUGUCAAUACCAAGUGAUGAAAGUGUGAAUAAAGAUUUCAAGGAUGAUAUAGCAAAUGAGUUUAUAUAGAAUAUUGUUAUGAGAAUUUACAAAUCUUGUCUUGACUUUGUUGAAAGGAAAGGAUUAGUGACAACACAAGUAAACUACGUGGUAUGCUAGAAACCCUUGGAGAUAAGUUGAAGCAUGAGUAGUUAAGCAUGCAUUUAAAUAUUUUGGUGAGCAAGUGCAUGCCUUUAUGGAAAUGAUAUACUUGGAGUAUGAAAGAGCAAAUAAGUGAUUAAGAGUUUCAAGAAUGUUUAAACACCGUUGAGAAAGAAUUAUAAGUUAUACGUGAUGAGUAUAAGAUGUGUGGUUUUGAAACUUGCUAAGGAGCCAAACGGCUAAGUCACGAGUUAAGUGAUCACCUGCUGUGAGACAUAAGUUUAAGAUAGAUAUCCCCAAGGAAAUACUCAAGAUAAGUUCUGCCAUGGAUCUCGUGAAAGCAAGCACUAAGUUAUGUGAUCAUAAAAAAGAAGCCAUAAGUUGAGAGUAUACUUGUAUUGACAUUGAAAAGUACUUGAGGAGGACAUAGUUUCAAGAUUUACAAUUUCAAGUACAAUUUGUAAAUUGGCUAAGGGAGAAUGAUGUUAUGUUCAUACGAAAGAGUGGGACAAAAGAUGAUUAAAGUUAACCUUGAUAAUGAAGUCGGAUAAUGAAACUUUCCUAAUAUAUUAUGGAAAUUGGAAUUCGAAAAUGCUUGAGGCAUACAUGAUUCAAAUGAGUCUGAGUUUUAAGUGACAAAUCAAUAUCGGAAUGCAAGAAGGAUACAAGGUAAUGUAGAGGCAAGAAGGAUAAUCGAGGAAAAAGGAUGACUCUUAGGAAUUGUGGUAUUGCAUAAGAUGCAAUGAUCAAGUUAAGAUAAAGCUUUGAGGCAUCAAUGGGAUUAUAACGCAUACAUGCAUAAUAGAUUAUAAUUCAAUGGAGAUGACAUUAUGAUGCAAUGAUAUAUAGUAUAAGGAAACUUAAGCAUAUAAUUGGAAAUGAUAAGAAGAGAGUAUAAGUAUGUAAAUGAUGUGGAACUAUGCACAGGCAUAAUGAGAAUUUGUAUGAAUUAUGAAGAUUAUUCUAUUGAAUCUUGGUUAUGGAUGAAUGAAUGAAAGUCGAGAAAUUUGAUAUGAAAUGAAGUAAUAAGAUAGUGAUUGGUAUACCUAAAUAAGUAUAAAAUGCAAUCUAAAUUGGUAUGAUUGAGAUGGAGUUAUGGUUCAAGUUUAAUGAUAGUCAUAGAAGCAUGCUUGGUGUCUCGAUAUAAGAGAUCAUAAUUGUGAAGGUUACUGUUGAUAUGAUUUUAAAGGAUAAUAAUAGACAUAAGUGAAGUACUCGAGUUGAAUUGGAGGUAAAUGAGGUGAACAAAUCGAAAUUCCCUAUAAAGGGGAGGACAUAAGAAGUCGAGCAUUAGAUGCUAAAACAAUGCCCUCACUUUUUCUCUGAGUUUAGUAAAUGAAAUUUUGAGGUCAAAAUUUUAUUUUAAGGGGGGUAGUUCUGUCAAGCCCAGCUCUACAAUAUGUUUAUUAUGUCAUUCUUACAUAAGAAUGCAUGUUUGCUUACUUGGGUACCUUGAAAAUCGUUAAAGGACGGUAAUGUACCAAAUGGUACAAUUAAGUUGAAUCAAGCCUCGAACUAGUCCAAAUAGAGAUUUUAAGAUAAAAUUGAGAAUUUUAAAACCCCAUAAUGACUUAAAAUGGUGAUUAAAAGUUGGAGGACUGAUUUGGAGUCAAAUUGGAAUUUUCAUGACCUAGGGGCAAAAUGGUCAUUUUGCUACCCGAGGUUAAGAUGUGAGUGUUGGAUGAAAUUUUUGACUAAGAUUGAUUAUUUGGAGUAUAAUUUGAGUUUGAGAAGUGAAGAAUUUUAAUUGCGGCAUUUUUCGAGCAUAAAAGGCAAAAUAGUCAUUUUGCCACCCCAGGGGCAAAAUUUGAAUUUUUCACCACCCAACACUUAUCCAGCACAUGAAUUUCACCCAUUAUUAUUAUGGAUAAUUGAGGAAUUUUAAAUGGUGGAGAGAGAUUGCUUAAUGGGUAAGUAUGACACAUGGACCAAUGGAAUGGUGACACAUGGUAAAUUUUUGUCCAUUUAAUAUUUUCCUUUAUAAAGCCAAUUUGAACUCUUCCACAUUAAUUUUUAUGGCUGGCCAAAGCAAGAACAAAGGAAGAAAAGAAAGAACAAAAACCCUAGAGUGAAAAUUGAAGAGAAAAUUGGUGGAUUUCAAGUAAUUAAGCAAUCAAAGGUAAAAUUUCUUGAUUUUGACUUGUGAUCUACCUUUCCCAUACAUUCUUUUGCAUUUUCCAUGGUUGAAUCACAUGAUUUCAUGAUGAAUCUCUUGCUGGUUGAACACUUAGAGAGAGAUUUUGAUGGUUGUUUUGGUUAGAUUUUAAGAUAUUCUAGUGUUUUUAGUUGAUUAGUGAUGUGUAGCAUGAAAAUCAAGCAAGAAAAUUCAUGUUCUUCCAUAACCCAUCAUUGACCGAAUUUUCCAUGUAGAAUGUGAAUGGUGGAUUUGAUUUUAUUUCAAGUGAAUUGGUUAGGAAAUGAUGAAUUACGGUGAGAAAAUCAAGUAGGAAAAUUCAUAGUAUUGAUGCACCCACCAUGGCUGAAAUUUCGAAGAGAAAAUGUGAAGAUGAUUUUGCCAUAUUUCAAGUUAUUUAAUUUGUGUUUGAUGAUUUGGAGUAUUGGGAGAAAAAUGGAAUUAUUUGGAGUUGAAUUGGACAUAUUGGCCAAUUAAUCGGGUGAUAGAUCGAAUUAGGCCAAUACCAUUUUAUUUAGGUACAUAAUUGAAUUUAUAUUGAACACCGUAUUUAGAUAGUUACUCGAGUAUUUCACAUCCCAUUUCAUGCAUUAGUAUAAAGCCUGAAUUGGUUUUACAAUGGUUUAGCACAAAUGUAGUAAAUGGCUUAUUGUGCAUUAUGUCUAGGUGGUGAGCUUUCUGGCAAAAGUAAAGAGAUAGCACCCGAGGAUCAAGAAUCGGAGUACUUGGAAUUCGAUUUCCAUUACAGUGAGUAACCUUACUAUCAUCUUAAUUAUCUAAAGUGGUUUUUAUCCGAUUUUGUGAUUUUAUGGAAAAUGAGUUAAAUGGUAAAUCUUUGUGUUUUGUAAUUAAAAUGUGAUUUAAUGAAAUGAUUUUAUAACAUUGUCUUGAAAUUGAAUGAUGGUUUGAAAAUAGAGUAAUUGGAGACUGUUUUCAUGUGUUUUAAAUUCAUGGUUUGAAUCGAAUGGCUGAUGACAAUAUUUGCAUGAAUGACUGAAUUGGUAUUUGUGUUGAAAUAUAUGAACAGUGUAUUUAGCCUUGAGAGGCUGGAUUGUGAUAUAAUUGCCAUGUCAUGCAGUUGAGAUUUUAUAGAAUUGGUGGGUUUAGCUUGCUGCAGUGGGCGGAUUUCGUGGACUAGCCUAUUAGAGGGGCACGGUAACCCUGUUAUAUUCUUACUUCGGUCAAAGAGGUGUGUAGGGUAACUCCCGAGGUACAGCUUUAGAGUUCACUUCACACCAAAUCACCACGUGAAGGUGAACUCAGCCAACGCCAAAGAACGACUAUGUUUUGAAAUUAAAAACAUGAUUUAUGCGUACAUGACUUUUUAACAGCCUUGGCGAACUCGGUUGGGAUAGCCCUAGGCCAGGGUAUCCUUGACAACCGAUUAUGAGAAUGAUUUUGGCACGAACCAAAGUUUUAAGAAAUUCAUAAGCCAUGUUGAUUACUUGAUUUAUAUAAAUUGAUUUUAUUUGGUUGAAAUGAGUUGAAAGGUGAUGAAUUACAGUAUGAUGAUCUAUUUUAAUCUGUCUCCAUUUACUCAGCUUUAGAUAUUUUAGAUGGUAUUUGUUUACUCACUGAGAUUAUAUAAUCUCACCACCCUCAUUUCCACCCAUUUCAGGCUCAGGAUAGUUGGUAAAUAGCUCAUUUAGUUGAGGGCUACAGUUGGAUUUGCAUCCUCAAAAACUGUAGGUUUACCGCUUUUGAUACUUUUGAUCGUUCGUGGGCCCACGUGUCACUAUAAAUUAAAUCUUAUGCUUUGGUUAUCUGUAUUACAGUAUGUAUGAAUUUAUUUAGCUUUUACGCUACAAAAAUUAUUUAUCGGUAACUCUAUAAAUAUUAUUUUAUAAGAAAAUAUAAUAUUUUAUUGAAUAUUUUUAUUAUAUUCAAAUAUUUAUAGUUUCACUUUAAAUGAAUGUUUUAGACAUUUAAACUUAUUUUUUAUUAUGAAAUAUGUGUUUUCCACUCGUAUACUACAUUUUUAGCUGGUUUUGAGAUUUUUGAGGAAAAAUGACCAAAUCAUCCCUGUGAGAAAAAAAUUAUUUUUCUAUUGUUUUGAUUUGGAAAUAGUUUAUAAUCUCUCAAAACAUGAUACUUAACAACUGUUGCUCAUAGGGAAGGUGCGAAAACUGAUAUUAAAGCCUUUCAAGGUUCCGAUUGGCAUUCCUGGCAAUGAAUGUCUAUCAGGACGUCGCGACGGUUGUCACGGGCUCGAAGGGAGUAUCGGGUCGUGACACUAGAUGUUGACACAAUCUUCUUAGACUUGAAAGAUGUUCUAACUUUUUUUCCUAGUUGGCAAGCAUCACAUUUUUUGUCACUUUCAAAUUUUAUAUUUGGCAGCCCAACAACUAGAUUUUUCUUAAUUAGUUUUGACAUGGUACGCAAGCUUACAUGUCCUAGUCUCCUAUGCCAUAACCAACUAUCACUAUCAGCAUUUGCAACUAAACAUAUUUCAUCAUUUAUUUCAAGAUCCUCAAGAAAUAUCACAUACAUAUUUUUCAAUCUCUUUCCUAUAAAUGAGACUUUGUUUGUUCCUAUGUCAAUUACUUCACACUUAUUUGAAUCAAAACAUACUUUAAAUCCUUUGUCACAUAACUGACUAAUGCUUAAUAAAUUAUGCUUCAAACCCUUAACUAACAACACAUGAAUGAUUUGAGUUUGGGAGUUCUUACCAACGGUACCUAUCCCAUAAAUUCUACCUUUUGAAUCAUCACCAAAGGAUAUGGUACCUCCCUUUCUUUUGUCUAGCUAAGCAAAUAACAUUUCAUCUCCUAUCAUGUGCCAUAAGUAGCCAUUGUCCAUGCACCAAGGCUGCUUCUUCUUGAGUUGAGCUCUUGAAUAUGUCUCCUUUAAGUGCAGCUCAACCUAAAAAAUAGUAUUUCAGUUUUUCUUUAUAGGUACCCAUACUUUGAUGGGUCUUUGCGUGUUAGUUACAAUAUAGGAUCCUUUAGGGACCCAAACUUUUCUGAUUUUCUGCACAUUUGUUUUCUUAAAAUAGUCAUAUGAUAAAUGACCAUGUUUACCAUAAUUAUAACAUUUAGGUAGUGCAUUAGUAAAAUUUUUAUUAUAGUACACAUCUCUUUUUGAAGAUUCAUUUUUCAAACAUUUGAGAGCUGUGUUUUCAUCAAGUAAUUUUUGCAAAGCAUCAUACUUAUUAUCCAACUCUAAUUUUAAAACUUCAAAGUCUAUUUUUGAGUGUUCUAACUCAAUUUGCAAGAUAUUUCUUUGCUUAAAAAUAGAAUUGAACUCUUGUCCCAUUUUUUCCAAAUCAUUUUCAAUAGAUGCAGCCUUUCUCUUUAAUGUUUUGUAUUUUGGAAAAAGCUUUUCAAAUUCAUUACAGAGGCUGUCAUAUUCAUCCUGUAUAUCAUCAAUGGAAAUAUCAUAGGGGGAUGAGGAUACCUUGAUUUCAUCCUCUUGUGCCAUCAAACAAAUGUUUGCUCUUUCCUCAGAUUUUUCAUCUUCAGCUUCAGAAGUUGAUGUGUCACUGUCAGACCAUGCAGCAGCUACCAUUGCUUUCUUGGAUUUCUUAUUUUUCUUUAGAGGCUCAUCCUUCAGCAGUGGACACUCGAACUUGAAGUGACCAGGUUUCUUGCAUUCGUAGCAGAUCAGCUCCUUCUUUUUAUUGUAGUCAUUCUUAUUUCUAAUAUUCCAUGAAGCACUUUGAUCCUUCUUAAACCCGUUUUAGCUAGUCUCCAAUUUCUUCUCCCCAUAAGCUUUCUGAAUUUUCUUGCAACCAGAGCUAACUCUUCAUCAUCAUCGGAUGACAAUUCUUCCAGCUCUUCCUCAAAAAUGCUGGCUUUAAGUGUUAUGUUCUUUUUCUUUUCCUAUGCUUCUCUCCUAUCUUCUUCUUCUUCUUCCUCUUUAAGCUCCAGCUCAUGUGGGAGGAGUGAACCACAAAUCUCAUCUAAGGUAAUCACAUUUAGAUCCUUUGCCACAUGGAUUGUAAUUACUUUAGGCUUCUAAUUUUUUGGUAGACUUCUAAGCAGUCUCUUUACUAAUUCAUGUUCAGGGAUAGGCUUGCCUAGCUGACUUAAUUUAUUUGUGAUGUUUGUAAACCUAUCAAACAUGCUGGUGAUGUCUUCACCAGGCUCCAUUUUGAACAUUUCAUAGUUAUGUGUCAAGAGGGCAAUUUUGGACUCCUUGACUUGAGAAGUCCCUUCAUGGAUUAUUCUAAGUUUCUCCCACACUUGUUUAGCUGUUGUACAGCUUGAGACUUUGUUAAAUUCAGUGGGGGUCAAGGCACAAUGCAAUGUGUUGAUGGCCCUAAAGUUUACUUGAACUUUCUUAGUCUCAUCCUUGAUCCAUUCAGACCUUGGCUUGGGCAUCAACUCAUUUGUCACCACAUUCAAAGUUGAGGGCAUGAAGGGUCCAUCAGUUAUGAUGUCCCAUAUUUCAUAGUCAAUAGCUCUAAUAUAAAUUGACAUCAUAGUUUUCUAAUAAGUUUAAUUAAAGCCAUCAUACGGAGGUGGUUUGUUUGUUGAUUGUCCCUUAGCCACUACUGAUUUUUAGAAAGCCAUUUGGAUCCUCUCUAGGGAUGUUAACCCUUAAAACAAGGAACUAGCUCUGAUACCACUUGUUGGUCCCAACAAUAUGUACUAGAGGGGGGGUGAAUAGCACAAAUCGGCUCUUGACAAGAUAAAGAACUAAUUUCCAGCACAAAGAAAAUAAAAACAGAGUAGACAAUGCAUAGCAAUUUAGAGUGGUUCGGUCCAAGACUUACAUCCACUACCUUGAUUAUCCAACUAAGGAUUUUCCCAACAAAUCCACUAAGAUUUGGUGAAAUUCACAAGCUUUCACCAAGCUUUACAAUGGCUUUUACAAGGCUCAGCCAAAACCUUUUUCACGGGCUAAACUAAAACCCAAAUUGGUUUUUCCAAGGCUCAACCACAACCUACAACAAUCAAGCUGUCCCAAGCUUGAAUAACCCCUUAGAGUGACUUCCUCACUCUUAAGAAUACAAGAAAAGUAGUAAAAGAAAGUACCUAUGAUCACUGGUUGAUCUGAGUGGUACAAGAUUGAAUGCAAAUUACAAAUUCAAAGAAUAGGCGUUUAAGUGCAGUGAAUAUUUUCUGGUUUUUCAACUCUUUAUAGCUCAAAUUUCAUUCAAGGUUUCUAAAACCUUGUUUCUAAUUGUUGGUAGACCCUUUUAUACUUGAAGAAAUAUCUCUGAUGGCAGUUUGAUAGUUUUCUAGCUGUUAGAGACAGUUGAGAUUUGGUUCUAGUCGUUACCCUGUCUUUUAGUGUAGAUUUCAAACUUGCAGGAAGAAUGCUCUUAGUUGACUACUCGAUAUCUUAGUUGACUAGGUUGUCUCUGUUUUUCAAACUCUUCUGCCCGCCUUUUCUCCAAUUUGAAUCUUGGCCAACCAACAUUCUUCCUUAUUCAACUAAUGAGCUUUCUCCUUGUUAAUCAGUCAUGUCUCAUUAUUUUUAUCUCCCUUUUUCUUUUAAUAUACACUUUGAAGGAUUGAUUUAUUAAUUUCAUACAUUAAUUUUCCUGCACACUUAAGUAAAGGUAUUAGACACAAAUGAAUGGGAAUGUUUUACUAUCAUAAAAAACUAAUGGAGUCAACACAAGCACCAAAAUUCAAAUUCAAAAUAAGUUUGAUCGUUGAAGGGAGCCAAAAUGAAGAAAUUCAAAAUUCAAAGAAUUUCUAACUAAUUAGAUGUUGUGUUAAUCAGUGAAGGCUAAAGGAAGUGAAGCUCUAAUUAGUUAAGGGGAGAGUUAACCAAUUAGAGGAAGUCUGCUAAAUAUAGAACCUUGAAGACAGAGAUCAAUUAAUUGGUUAGAGUCUCCUAUAAUCAGUUAGCGCAGAGUACACAGUAGCAUGAUAGUGUAAGGCAGAGAAGCUUUAAUUAGUUAGAGUUACUUGUAACUAAUUAGAAGAACUCUAUUUGCCCAUUUGAAUUUAAACACUAGAGGAUAAAAUAAUAGCUAGAAUGGCAUCAGAGUUGUCCCUAACGGCAAGAAUCUAUCUUGAACAGCAAAAUCUGUCUCCCCAAGUAUAAAAGGAAGCUUCAAUGGUUAAGAAAGGUAAAUUUGAAGCAAAAAGAGCCACUUUGAGCAAAAAGCCAGAAGAACCUUCAUUAAAAACACUUGUUCUUCAUUCUUAUUCUUGAACAAGUGUUUGAGCUUGAGUUAAUCUUUCUAGAUUUUGUAAAGGUACCUAGGUGUACUUCUUUUUCUUUUUUGUCUUGGGAAUGUGGAGUGUGGGAAGCACUUUAAAGUCAUUGUAAAGGAGUAGACCUUAGGUUAGAAGCUCACCUUGUAAAAGCUUGGUGGAAGCUGUCAAUUCCACUAGUAUAGUGAUGUUGGGUUAAAAAUCCUUGAUUGGGAAAUAUCAAGUGUCACGACCCGGAACCUCCCUCAGGCCCAUGACAACCGUCGCGACGUCCCGAUUGACACUAAUUACCCAGAAUGCCAAUCAGAAUCCCGCAAGGCUUACAUAUCAGUUUCUUGCCUUUCUUGUGAGCAAUCGUUUUUAAAUAUUCCGUUUUAAACAAUUACUAGUCAUUUUUGGCUCAAGUAAAUCAAAAGACAAAAAUAUAUCAUUUUUUAUAUAAAACAAUAUAAAAUAGAAACAUGUGUAAAUAAUCUUUUGUAACGUGAAAGUAAAAUAAAUUCAUACAUACAAAAAUUUAUAAAGUUAUAAUGUACAAUAAUAAUUACAAUGACAAGUGGCCCCUAAAUACACAGUGUUGGUGAUAGUAACUUACUGUCUGUGAGAUAGAGGGGUCAACUGAAAUCCUCGACAAAAUCGGUAUCUACAAGCUACCACAGGCCUGAAAUAUUUGGAAAGGAGGUGGGUGAGAUUUUGCAAUCCCAAUGAGUAAACAGACAUUAUCAUAAAUAUCUAAAGGCGAGUAACAUGGAACCAAGUUUAAACAACAAAUUACAAACCAUUUUAUAAGGUUUUCAAUUUAUUUCUUAAAUCAUAAAAUAUUUGUAAUUUACCAAAACAGUUGUUAAGGCUUCUGACUUUUAUUAAAAAUAGGGCUCAAGCCAAAACUAAUCCUCGGGGAUACCUUGGUCGAGGCAUCUAACCGAGUCCGCCAAGGUUGUUAAGAUAUUUACAUGUGAAACACAUUUUUUUUUUAAAACAAGUCGUUCCUUGGCGUUGGCCGAGUUACACAUUCACGUGGGGGUUCGACGUGAAGUGAGCUCUAAUACUACCUCGAGAGUUACCCUCCUCGCCUCUACAAUCGGAGUAAUUAUGUAAUCGGGUUUACCGUGCCCCUCUAAUAGGCAGUCCACGGAAACCCGUCACUGCAGUGACUAACCCACCAAUUUUAAUAAAAUUUUGACAGUAUAACGUGGCUUUUAUUUAUUUACCCAGCCUGCAUAGUAAAAAAAGCUUACAUUUAUUCCCAAUGCAAUUAUAAAAUAUAGCCACAUAUACUUAUAUAUCAUAAGCCAUUCAUAGUAAAAUAUAUAUAUUUCAAAAUAAUUGACAGCCUCCAAUUACUCAAUUUCAUAAUCAACACAAUAUAUUUUUAUUUGUCACAUUUAUUUCUAAAACAUCAAAAAUCCCAUUUUAAUCUCAUUUUCGUUUCAUAAAAUACAUAAAGAGUAUUUAAAAAUAAACUCUAGAUAAUUUACAAUAAUAAUAGGUUUACUCACCGUUUGUACAAAUUAACUGAUUUUUAGGUGCCCCGAUCACUGUUCGUCGGGUACGACUUCCUUGCCUUUACCAGAAGGCUCUCCUCCUAAACACAUUGCAAAAUUUACCCAAUUCACCACAUUGAUGUUAAAUCACUAUAUAAUUGACUUAAAUCCUAUACUAAUGCAUGGUAUGAAAUGCAAUAGCCUAAAACGGCUUAAACGCGGUAUUAACCUAUUUUUGGUACUUUAUCUGUUAAAUUGCUAACGCGCUCCAUUUUAGCUCUAAAUUGUCCCAUUUUCUCUCCAACAUUUCUGACCAUUAAAUAUCAGCCAAUAACCUUCUAAAAUCACAAAAAUCAGCUCACCUUCCUCCUUGGAAAAUUCAGCAAAAAAUGGGAUAUUUACUCGGUUAAUUUUUCACUUUGUUUUUCUAUCACAUUUAACCAUUUUUCAUCAUUUUCUCUUCAUUUCUCUUAGAAUAAAAAUCAGUUCAUCAUCAUUGUACAUCAAUGCAUAUUUGGCCAAGGGUGGGUAUUGUGAAAAUUUCAUGCUUUCUUGCCCAAUUUAAUUUUUAUACACAUUUAACUAACUAAAACUACCAAUUUAACUAAAAAUCAAAACCUAAAAAUUCCAUAAUCUCUCCCCUAGAAUUUCGGCCAGCCCUUGGUUUCACUUUUUGAUCUCUCUCCUCAAGCAUGCUUAAUGGAAAUAAAGGCAUAGGAAAGGUAGAAAUCAAGCUAAAAUAAAAAAAUCUUAACAUUAGACGCGUAAACAGAUGAAAAACGCGAUUUCCCCUUUGAAUUUUCUAGUUUUCCUUUGUUUUUCUCUUUUCUUCCUUUCCUCUCUAUUUUCUCUCUUGUUCUUUCCUUAUGGCCAGCCAGCACUUAAUAUGGGGUUUAAAUGGGCUGACUUUUCAUUAAAAUAAUAUUAAAUCAUUAAAAAGUGCCACGUGUCACUUUCCCAUUGGCCCGUUUUUAAAAUUUCAUCCAUUUGUUUCCAAAAUUUCACCAUACACUUGUCCACAUAUCCAUAGCUUAGAUAAAAUUCUCAGACUUAUCCAAAGUCUUGGUGGAGUAAUUUUUGAAAUUUACACUUUUGCCCCUGUAAAAGUGAAAAAUUACAUUUUUGCCCAAAAAAUUGAAAAAUUGCCCAUAGACAUAUUUUUCAUCCCUUAUACUCAUACCAUUCCCCAAUUUGUCAAAUUUGAUCUAAAUUCUCUCAAAAUCUCAAAUUUUGUCUGCGGGUGGUAAAAUUACGAUUUUGCCCCUAAACAUCAAAAUUUCUAAUUUUACCCCAAAUGAACCCUCGAACUUCGAACAAUCAUUUUUUAUCAUUCUUGGACUAUAAAAUAUUAAAUUUCAUCCUACGAUUCCUAUUUGAACUAGUUCAAGGUUAAAUCAACUCAGGUGUACCGUUAGGUACAAUAUCGGGUUUUGUCUAUUGUUAGGACUUUCCUAGCGUAAUAGCAUGCUACUCAGUGCAUGUAUGUCAUGACAUAUAUUUAUAGGGUCGGGUUUUACAUGAAGGUAGUGGAUGUAGGUCAAAGGGACCGAACCACUAUAAAUACUCUUGCAUUGUCUAUUUUUCUUUACCUUUCCUUACUUAGUGUCUUCUAAUUCUGACAAGUUUUAAACCCUACUUCUUUUAGCUGAUUAAGAGCUCUACAAGCUCAAAAGUGCAUACUUUAAAAUUCUUUUAUACUAUUCAUCCCUCUCUAGCACUUCAAUGGGACCAACAACUUUUGGUUGUUUGUCACUUUUGAAGCAGAAAAAUGUUUAAAGUCUAAAAGGGGUCAAAAUAUGAAAUUUUUAUAGAACAAUCUUUUGGAAAUGAAAGAUAACGAUAAUGAUUCCUUUGAUAUUUAGAUGACCAUAAAUAAUUCUUUCAUAAUUUUUGGAGUACGUUUGCUAUGAUAAAUGGGAACCGCAAAUUUGAUUUCAGUUGAACAUUUUAAAUUUUGUUCAUGAAACCAAAAUUUAGAUUGUUAUCCUUUUGGAUUUUGAAUUUUUUGAUAUUUUUAUUGAAUCCAAAUGGGGGGUUGUUUGCUUAUUUACGUUAAAUAUUUUAAGUAAAUGAAGAGUUAAAAAAGAAAGAAGUAAAAAUGAGGACUACUUUCAUUUUUACUCUCUAUUGACUUAAAUGGUAUUUAAUGUACAUCAAGUAUUGAAUUGAGCUGUAAGAGUGCCCAAUUGUUGAGGUGACUAGGGCUUUAUGGUUAAAUGCAUGUGGAUGCAUCACACAUAAUAUUAUGUGCUAUCGUGGUACCUUGAAUUGCUAUGUUUAGGCUUAGAUGAGCAUGCCUAGGCUAGUACAUAAAUUACGUACAUUAAAAAUUGUGAAUAUGUUAUGUUUUUGGGAAGCAUGAGUUAUUAGAUACUUUGAUGUGUUCAUGCCUAAAUGAGAAUGCCUAGGGCAAUAUACUAAUAAUAUGUGUUAAAUAGUCAUGUAUAUUGUGUUGUGAGCCAUGUGUUGGCAUUGAGAUUGAACAAAGAUUAUUCAUAGAUAUGGGUAUAUGAUGAGUAAUUGUGGUGAAUCAUUGUAAUGUUUUAAUUGUUGAAUAUGAAUAUGUGAAUAAUAAGGUGAGGAUGCCUAAGUACGAAAGACAUCUAUGUGUAUGAUGCUAGAGAGCUAGAUUUAACGAUGUGAGUUAUGAUUGAUGAGUCAUAGAGCCAUCAAUGGUCGUACGUGACUAUGUUUCGUCUGAGGGGUAAUUUUGAACAUUGUUUCAAUGUUGAGGAUUGAGUGGCAUCUAUCCCCCUAUAAUUAUGUUAAUGAUACCACCCCUUGGGAGAUUACUUCGGAUGAUGAUUAUAUUGUGAUGCCACCCACUGAGACUACUCCGGGUGUGAGCAUGUCUACGAUACCAUCUAUUGGAAUAUUACUCCGGAUAAUGAUUAUGUUGAUGAUACCAUCCAUUGGGAGAUUACUCUGAAUGUUGAUUACGUUGAUGACACCAUCCAUUGGGAGAUUACACCAGAUGAUGAUUACAUUGAUGACUUCAUUCGUCAAGAGAUUACUUUAGAUGAUGACUUGACUUUUUGCUGGUUGCUACGGCAUUGUGCAUGAAUUAAUUUUGUUGGCCGGCCACCUGACAUGAUUUGAUGGUGUCUGGGGAAAAGCACUCAUUAAUUGUGAAAUUUAUUCGCUAAUGGAAAGGUAAGCCUUGAAAUAUAACUCGUGAUUCGGAGGCAUAUACUUAGUUUAUUACUGAAUAUGGGUAUGCCGUUGGAGAUGAGAUCACGGCAAAACGCAGUUGAAGUGACGUGCAUGUAGGAUAUUAGUAUGAUCCUUAUAAUCCUAUCUUUGAGACAUGAUUGAUGAAUAGCCAUGUAGGCUUUGAUAUAUGUUUGUCCUUAUUAUUGAUUUUAUAAUGUUUAAAUUAUGCUGUGUUUAGCAUCCCCAUCUCACUAAGUAUUAGAUGACUCACCCAGUUUGUGUACCAUGUGCAGAUAAUUGAUGCCACCGAUCUGUGUGUGGCUUAACAUCAUCAUUUGGAAAGUUGAAUUUUGGCAUCUAGUAGGUUUUCCACGUAAUGUUUCACUUUGCUGAUAUCGUUCCACAUUAGCUUUCACAUUUGGAUUAAAGUUUAGUAAAUGUUGUAUUCGGAUAUUGUAGGCACUAAGUGCCACGCGUUAUUAUGUUAAAAGAAGGGUUGUGUGGUAUAAACCCGAUGAUUGGCCUAUGUGCAGCCUUAUGAACCCUGUAAUUAAUGAGAUUGUGAUAUAAAAUUAAAUGUGUUUGCUUAUGAUAUCCACGAAUGGUAUACAAAACAGAUGAAAUCCUAAGGCUUGCUCAGGUCUCGUGAGUUUCACCUAUUAGACUUGUGCGUCGGUCACGGACCCUUGGUUUAGGUCGUGACAUGUGUAAUGCUUACUUUUAACCAACUUGAACUUUUCAACAAGUUUGAAAUGACAAAACAAGACUAUUCAAGUGAUUUAAAACGAAUAGUAUGAAAUCAUUUUCAUAAGGCAUGAAUAUUUAUUCCUAUCACACAACAUUCAUUACAAUCAAUUCAUAAAAUAAAAAUUUUGAAAGAAUCAUCUUAGGUAUUUUCAAAAUUUACUCACUUACGAUUAAGACUAGUUUCUAAUUCAAACCCAUGCUAGAAACCCAUAAAUCCUUUAUCCAUACCUUAAAUGAGCUUGAUGCUUGGAAACCUCAAGACCCUUAAGCUUUACUCAUAAACAGAAAAAUCUGGGCCAUAACAUAUAUUUUCAGAAGCUAAAAAUCAACAUUUAAAGUUUCCAAAACAUAGAAUGCCAUCGUUAUCGCUUAAACUCAAAACCAAGCUUUUUAAUCAUCAAAGAUGAAGAUUUGCCUAAAAAAUAGGUUGAGAGAGCUUAAGUUGAGAGAAAUACCUUAGAAAAAUGGUUUACGGUUGAAAACCCUAAAAAAUAUGAGGUAUUUAUGGUUUUGAGUGUGAAAAUAUAAUUUUGAUUUUUUUAUUUUUCUGAAAAUGACAAAAUGUGUCGAUACAUUUGGACCAUGCAUCGAUAUAUUUGGUUCUGAAAAAAUUGUAUUGAUACAUGACCAUAUGUAUUGAUACAUUAUAAACAUGUAUCGAUACAUUUGAAACAGAAUGUAGUUUCUAAGAUAAAUUAUCUAUAAAAUCUAUCCAGCUUAUUUACAUUAAAUACCAUUUAAGUAAAUGUCUUCGUUUUUACUUAAGAUAUUUAAUGUAAAAAGCAAACAACCCCCCAUUUGGAUUCAAUAAAAAUAUGAAAAAAAUCAAAAUCCAAAAGAAUCAAAAUAUAAAUUUUGGUUUUAAGAACAAAAUCGAAAUUGUUUGACUGAAAUGAAAUUUGUUGCUCCUAUUUAUCAUAGCAAACGUACUUCAAAAAUUAUGAAAAAAUCAUUUUUGGUCAUCUAAAUAUCAAAGGAAUCAUUACUACCAUUUUUUACUUCCAAAAGAUUGUUCUAUAAAAAUCACACAUUUUAGCCCUUCCCAAACUUAGAAAAGAAAAUUUUAUACUUCAAAAGUGACAGACAACCAAAAGUGCCAAUGAAUUCGUUUGAAGGUUAAAACUAAGUUUGAUAUUCAAAAUAUGUAAUCGAUAUGCUCACCUAAGGACUUCCUAACUUAUCCUCUUAGGUGGGAUUUCACAUCAGCCAGUUCAUAAUGGCUAGAAUCUGUCUCAACGGCUAGAUUUGAGUUUCCAAGUAUAAAAGGGUCCUCCAAUGGUUAAAGAUAGGAAAGAGAAGCAACCAAGACCAUAUUGUGAGAAAAAAAGUAAAAGAAUUUUAUUUUACACACUUGCUUUUCACAUUCCUAUUUUGUUAAAAUGUUUUGAGCUUAAUUGUCUACAUCUUAGAUCAAUAAAGGUCAUCACUUGUAUUUUUUUUUCUUCUUAAUUCUUGGUUGAUUAGAGGGUGCAAAGCACUCUAAGAUUUAUUGUAAGGGAUUAGAGUUUGGGUUAGAAGCUCACCUUGUAAAAGCUUGGUGGAAGUUGUCAAUUCCAUUGGUUUAGUGAAGUUGGAUUGAAAAUCCUUGAUUGGGACAUCAAUGUAGUGGAUGCAGGUCAAAGGAAUCGAACCACUAUAAAUAUUUGUGUUUUGUCCACUUCUCUCUACCUUGUCCUUACUUGGUGCCUUUUAACCUUAACAAGUUUUAAACUUUCCAUUUCAUAUUUUACAAAAUGCUUUUCAAUCUUAAGAGCUGACUUCAAAAUAUUUUGUAAGUGCUAUUCACCCCUCUCUACCAUUCCAUUGGGACCAACAAAGCAUAACCUUUACAACCAAGUAUUUUCAAGGCUUAAAAUUAACCUUUACAAUAGUUUUUUAAAGGAUCAGACUCAACCCCUUUACCAUUUAGUUCAGUUAAGGUAUAACCUAUCACAUCCCAUUUCCUAAAAAGAUCGUGAUUAGUGCAUGGACCUUAACGGGUAUGGCUUGUUAGGCCCAAGCAAGCUGCUUAACUUCAAUCAAUCAUCAAUCACAUAUAAGCAUAGAUAAAAUGUAAAUAUAAGCAUCCAUGCAUAGGCGCAAGUGCAUAAUUAUGGACUUCUCAACAUAAAAGGUGUACACGGUUCAUUCAUAAAAUACACACCUAGUACAUUUAACAUAAAAUCUGUAAAGGCAUCUCAAAUGCUCAUAUAAGCUCACAGACCAUCAUUCAUAGUAUUCACAUAAUCUCAUGAAAAUAAAUUGCCAUUCCAUGGCUCAACAUUCUUAAUAUUCACAUAUUAACAUAAAAGGAACUUGCCACACAGUGGCUUAACAUUCUAGUUCAAACAAUUAUUUAUAAACGAAAUAAAUGACCGACUCGUUAGUGAAACAUGACUCGACCCACUAGGCAUCAAGUGGUUGGUAGACACCUACUAAUGAAGGAUGAACGGAUCACGUGUCCGUGACACUAGCUGCUAGCAAAAGAGUGAUAUCCUUUAACUACAACAAAAAAUAUAAGGAAAAAUAACAUGUGAAUCACAAAGACUUCAAGUGGAUAUGAGAAGGGGACAAGUGUGAGACCUCGACCUCUAUAGGCUUGUAACUAGGCAUAGACGCAAUAACACGGGCUAGGGGUAAUUUCGUCAUUUCCUUAGUAAGCCCCUAAAAGUAAGUUUUAAAUAAUAUUAAGGUCUAAGUAGGCCUAAGGCAUAAAUGAAUGAUGAAAAUAUGGGUAAAAUGGAAAAGGAAAUAAAAAUGAUGAUGAUUUCCACGGUAGGGGAAAAAUGGUCAUUUUUCACCUUGAGUCAAAAUUUUUAAGUUUUCAUGAACCCCGAGCAUUUCUAGACCAUUAUGGACCUUGUCCUAGUGUCAAAAGAGUAAAAAGAUUGCAUAAAGGAUUGGAGGAGAACAAGUUGACUUGUGAGGGCAUUUUGGUAAUUUAAAUGGAGUGGAUAAGCUUGGGCUAUAAAUAUAUCUUUCUUCCAACAGCUUCUUCUUCUUCUUCCUUCUUCUCUUUCACAUUACUUCCAUCCUCCAUGGAAGCUUGAUAUGAACCUCCAUAACCUCCCUCAAAAUAGCUAUACUUUUCAUGCUUUUGGUGCACUCUUUCAUAAACCCUUGUUCUUUUCCACUCUCUCUUUAAAACCCUUGAAAAAUCUUAUUUUCAUACUCUCUCUCACUAGUUAGGUGUUUUAGAGAGAGAAAGAGGAAGUUUUAUUAAUAGCUUGAAAGUUUUUGGAAAGAAUUUCAAGCACAAAGCUACCAAGGUGAGUAGUACACUAGAAUUGAGUUUUAGUGUUGAAAAUGAUUAGUGUUUAGACUUGGGGGUGAUUUGGUAGUUGGGGUUGUUCAUUCACUUUAGAGUGAUUAGGAUGGUGAACAUAGAUGGCCACUUAAAUGGCAAAUGGAAGCUAGCUAAGAAAAAGCUUUUAGAAUUCAUAAGCAUGUGAAUUGACUUAAUGGUGAUGCUAAUGUGAUGAUAGGUUCUAACGAAGCCCCAUCUCCCCAUUUGGACAAUUAGAGAAGUAGAGUCGACUAAAGGUUCAACAAGAUACUAGUGAGUGAACUUGCAUUUCAAAACUGUUUUGGGAUUGUGAAUGUAUUUGCAUAAUGCUUUUGAAUGAGUUUAUUCAACUUUUCUUAAAAAUGGGUACCUUGGGAACAUGCUUUUGAUUACUGUCUUUAUAGAUUACAUGUAGCUAUUAUGGAUUCUUGGUCAAUGUCAUUAUGUCGAUAUACAUAUAUGUUGUGCAUUGAUGGCUGACAUUGUGUGAUAAUGAUAACCGUGCGUGUGCACGAUGUGGGGGAAUGCACAUGUCGAUGAUGACGGUGGUGAGGGUGUUGGAUUGUAAAGCCCGACCUUAUAAAAUACUUGUCAUGAUAUACAUGUGAUGGAUAGCAUGUUUGCAUGCUAGGAGAGUCUCGAAAAAUUUAUAAAAGUCGGUAUUGUACCUAGAGGUACAACAAAGUUGAUUUAAGCCUCGAACUAGAUCAAAUAGAGAUUUUAGGGUGAAAUUGAAAAUUUUACAGUCCAGGAAUGAUUUAAAAUGGUGAUUUGGAGUUCGAGGAUCAAUUUGGAGUCAAAUAAAAAAUUUUACUAUUUAGGGGCAAAAUGGUAAUUUUGCCACUUUAGGACAAAAUGGGAAAAUUUUGAAAGAUUUUGAUAACAUUUGACUUAUUGGAGUAUGAUUUGAGUUUGAGAAGUGAAAAAUUGUAAUCCCAGUAUUUUUCGGAGCAUAAGGGUAAAAUGGUAAUUUUACCACCCCUAGUGGCAAAAUUGUAAUUUUACACCACCAACACUUGUCAUGCUCAUAGAAUUCAUCCAUUGACUUUUUAUGUUAUGGAUAAGUGAGAAAAUAUAUGUGGUGGAAAUAAAAAGUUUAAAUUUUUAAAGUUUUAAAAAUGGACCAAUAAUAAAAUGACACUUGUCAAGCUUAGAAUAUUUUAUUAUUUCCUUUAAAAAUCAGCCUAUAAACCUCUCACUUCUCUCCAAAUAUUCGGCCAAGCAAGGAAAAGAGGGAAACAAAGAAAGAACAAACCCUAGGUGGAGAAUUUCAAUAGAAAAAGUGUGAAAAAUCAAGGAAAACAAGUGAAAAAGGUAGGAUUUCUCAAUUUAAACUUGAAAUCUAUUUUCCUUAAGCACUUCUCCUUAUUUUCCAUGCUUAAAUUACAUGUUUUUAUGAUGAAUUGUUGGCUGAUCAAAAUGGGUUAGGAGAGAGAAAGUUGUUAGAUUAAUUUGAUUUUAAGUUAUGUUAGUGUUUUUAGUUAGUUUAGCAUAUUUAGAAACAAAACAACAAGAAAAGAAUUUAUUUUCUCCCACAACCAUUAAUGGCUGAAUUUACCAUGUAGUGAGUGAGGAUGAGUUUGAUUUUAUUCUAGGAGAAUUGGUUAAGGAAUAAUGAAUUAUGAGCCUAGAAAAAUAAUGAGAAUUUUCGGAGCAAAAAUACGAAUUUUUACCCACUAGGGGUAUUUUCGUAAUUUGCUAUUGGGACUGAUAAUUUGCAUCACACUGAGGGACAUUAAGUUAAUUUGGGUGCAAUUGAGGUAUAGAAACUGAAAANNNNNNNNNNNNNNNNNNNNNNNNNNNNNNNNNNNNNNNNNNNNNNNNNNNNNNNNNNNNNNNNNNNNNNNNNNNNNNNNNNNNNNNNNNNNNNNNNNNNNNNNNNNNNNNNNNNNNNNNNNNNNNNNNNNNNNNNNNNNNNNNNNNNNNNNNNNNNNNNNNNNNNNNNNNNNNNNNNNNNNNNNNNNNNNNNNNNNNNNNNNNNNNNNNNNNNNNNNNNNNNNNNNNNNNNNNNNNNNNNNNNNNNNNNNNNNNNNNNNNNNNNNNNNNNNNNNNNNNNNNNNNNNNNNNNNNNNNNNNNNNNNNNNNNNNNNNNNNNNNNNNNNNNNNNNNNNNNNNNNNNNNNNNNNNNNNNNNNNNNNNNNNNNNNNNNNNNNNNNNNNNNNNNNNNNNNNNNNNNNNNNNNNNNNNNNNNNNNNNNNNNNNNNNNNNNNNNNNNNNNNNNNNNNNNNNNNNNNNNNNNNNNNNNNNNNNNNNNNNNNNNNNNNNNNNNNNNNNNNNNNNNNNNNNNNNNNNNNNNNNNNNNNNNNNNNNNNNNNNNNNNNNNNNNNNNNNNNNNNNNNNNNNNNNNNNNNNNNNNNNNNNNNNNNNNNNNNNNNNNNNNNNNNNNNNNNNNNNNNNNNNNNNNNNNNNNNNNNNNNNNNNNNNNNNNNNNNNNNNNNNNNNNNNNNNNNNNNNNNNNNNNNNNNNNNNNNNNNNNNNNNNNNNNNNNNNNNNNNNNNNNNNNNNNNNNNNNNNNNNNNNNNNNNNNNNNNNNNNNNNNNNNNNNNNNNNNNNNNNNNNNNNNNNNNNNNNNNNNNNNNUAUGAAUUAUUUUAUGCUAAUCUAUUUUAUCUGUCUCCAUUUACUCAGCUUUAGAUAUUUUAGAUGAUAUUUGUUUACUCACUGGGAUUAUAUAAUCUCACCACCCUCACUUCCACCCAUUUCGGGUUCAGGAUAGUCUAUAGAUAGCACAUUUCGUUGAGGACUAGCAUUGGAUUUGCAUUUUCCAAACUGUAGGUUCACAGUCUUUCUUACUUUUGGUUAUUCGAGGGCCCACUUGUUACUGUAAAUUAAAUUAAAUACUCUGGCUUACUGUAUUACAGUAUAUAUGAAUUUAUUUUGCUUUUAUGCUGUAAGAAUUAUUUACAUAAUGUUCUAAAAAUAUUGUUUUAUGAGAAAAUCAAAUAUUUUAUUCAAUAUUUUUAUUUUAUUCUAAUAGUCAUAAUUUCAUUUUAAACAAAUGUUUUAGACAUCCAAAUUUAUUUUUGAUUAUGAAAUAUGUGUUUUGCACCCGUAUACUACAUUAUUAGCUGGUUUCGAAAUUUUUAGGGAAAAAUGACUAAAAUACCCCUGUGAGACGAAAAUUAUUUUUUUUAUUGUUUUGGUUUGGGAAUAGUUUAAAAUCUUUUAGAACGUGAUAUUUGGCAACGGUUACUCACAGGGGAAAUGAGAAACUGAUAUUAAAGCCUUGCGGGGUUCCGAUUGGUAUUUCGGGUAAUGAGUGUCUAUCGGGACACCGCGACGGUCGUCACGGGCUCGAGGGGAGUACCGGGUUGUGACAUGGAUGAUGAAAGUGACCGUGUGCACGAUGUGGGGGGAUGUACAUGAUGGCACUAAUUGUGAACGAUGUGGGGGCAUGGACACGAUGACUCCGACUAUGUGCACGAUGUGGGGGGAUGCACAUGAACUGGAUGAGAUGAUAGUGGUAUUGGUAUUUAUCCAUGUAUGUAUAUGUAUAUAUGUUUAGAGAAUGAAAACUCAUGAAUAUGGUUUAUGGUUGAAAUGCAUAUGAAUUCGGCAUGUUGAACUUUGAAAAUCUUUAUGUGUUUCAUGUUGAUUUUAUCAUUUUAGCUAGAUGGCCUUUUUCUUGAAAGAACAAAAAUAUUUCUUGGUGCUCUGUUUCUCACUGCAGUGAGAAACUCUAAGGUUUGAGGGAUUCACCAGACUUGGUUCUCACUACAGCGAGAAACUCUCUGUUUGGCCAGUCAAAUUUUGCUGCAGCGAGAAACUUUCUGUCCCACUUGGCUACCUUGUUGAUUUUUGCCACAUUUUCCACCCCUUUAACACCAUAGUGGAUCAUUGACUUCCAACAUCAAGGAAUUAAUUAACUAAGUCAGAAAUGAGGGGUUUAAAGAGAAACCCUCGGCCAGUUGAGAAAACCCUUGUCUCACUAAAAAUAUGAGCCAAACUUCUUUGCAAUGAGAAUGCCUUUCCUCUGCAACGAGGACCCGGUGUUUAUUUGACCUGAUUCACAUGAAUGCUAUUAAAGUUUUCACUCUCCAAAUCCUUUGUUGAGCAUGGACCCUUUUCAUAAAGUGAUUUACUCAUGUGGGGUUUACAUGAGGGGUUUUAAUAAGAACUAAAACAAAUUGCAUUGUUUUGAAAAAUGAAUGCAUCAUGAUUUCGUUAAACAUUCCUUAGUGUUUGCUUGUUCCCUUCUUGUUCACUUACUGGGUUUAUACUCGCCAUUUUCAACUUCAUGUUUUUAGAUCAAGAGGCAGUCGGUAACUAGGUCGAGGUGUCCUCAUAGACUUGUAUCCAUCUUCUGGUAGGUAUCAAUGGCAUUCAGUAGUUGCACCUUCGCUAUAGUUGCUCCGCUGGAAGUCUAAAGUCCUUUUUGUUGAACACACGUGCCCUGAUGUAAAUUGUUAAGACGUGUAUAUGUCUUAAGCAAUAAAUGUUUAUAUUGUUUAAUGUUGCCACUAUGUAAUGGCACGGAUGACAUUAUUGUGAAUCAUAUAAAUGUGAAUAUAUGGUAUCGAUAGAAAAGUUUUGACAUACUCGUUAGUAAGAAUUACGAAAUACAGUGGCAAGAACAAAUGAUGAAAUCGAUGAAUGGAGUCACAUAGAUAGGCUUGCUUGGGCUUAGGGGGCUAUGUCCAUUGGGCCCAUGCACCGAUCAUGGCCUGAAAAUUAGGUUGUGACAAUAAGGUAGGGGAUAAGAGGAUUUCAUAAACAUGCACUUGUAAUCUCAUGCCCUUCGUAAACAAUUUAAUCAUAAAGUUCAUGAAACAUUGUAUUUAAUGCAUUUUAGAAGCCUCUUUACCUUUGAAAUUCUCAUCAAAUUCAAUUAACAACCAUUUCUACAAUGAAUCUAUCAAUACAUUCUCAGAUGUAUCGACCCUUUCAAGAAUCUAUCGAUACAUUAGUGAAAUGUAUCGAUGCAUUUCGCACAGAAAGCCUCCUGAAAGGUACCAUUUAGAAUGUAUCGAUACAUGCUCCGUAUGUAUUGAUACUUUGAACACAAAAUCUUAAUUUUUGGGUAAAAUUUAGCAUCUUUGUCAUUCCUUAAGUCCCUUUAUGACUAGGGAGACUACCUUUAAUGCUCAACUCAUUCCAUCAAAUUUAUUCCUAUGCCAACAUAGUGUAAUACUCAUAUAAGCUCGGCAUACAACAUUUCAUGAAUGCGUAACAACUAUAUCAUCCCAUUAACAUUAAAAUGCCUCUUUCAAAUAUCAUAAAUCAUACAAUGUGAUGGUUUGUCCCCCAUCAACCUUACGUUGGCAAUAUACAAUCUCAUUACACCUCAAAAGUUUAUGAUGCAUAAUAGGAGUGAAGUCAUCACUUACACCCAGUAAGAGUGGACUCAAUCACACUCAUUGCAUUCCCAUACCCAUAGCAUUAAGUAUGUGGAAAGUCCAUCACAUACAUGCUUAUUUAUCUCAUAAAAUAUAUAGAAAAUACAUCAUAUACAUAAUCACAUUUCAUUCAUCAUGUUUUCCUUAGCAUCUACUGUAGUAUGUGGCAUAUACAUCAUAUACGUAAUCUCAUGGCAUUUAUCAUGCAUACUAAAUAACCUCAUAUAGUAUAUGAAAUUUACUUCAUAUACACAAUCGUAUAGUAUUUAUCAUGCAUACUUAAUCAUCUCAUAUGGUAUGUGGAAUUUAUAUCAUAUACAUAAUUUUAUGACAUUCAUCAUACCAAAUAUGCACAUAAUAGCAUCUAUAAAUAAACAUCCAAUAUCUCGUACCCAUAGUAGUCCAAAGACUGAAGUAAUCAAGUGGACUUCAAACGUAAGGUGCUUGUCCCCCCUUGUUGAAAACUAAUACAUAGUAGAAUAUUAACAUACAUAGUAAAUUCAUAAACAUUUUGAAGACCAUUGUGUCAAUCAUAUUACAUUCACUAACAAUUUAUUUUCUUAGAAAAUAAUUUUCAUUCUUGAAACACAAAUCUUUUGAUAAACCAUUUGAGAGAUAUCAUUUCAAUGUACAUAAAUAAUCUUUUUCAUAGAAAUCAUGCUAGCUUUACAUAUCAAAAUAAUUUGAAAGUGGUGUAUCCACUUACCUAGUUGGAGAUUCGAUUCCUAGCUCGAAUCACAACUCUGUUUUGGUGAAUUCCAUGGAGUUUUCAAGCGUUCCUAUCACACAAUAUUCAUUACAAUGAAUUCCUAAAAUAAAAAUCUUGAAAUAAUCAUUCUAGGCACUUUCAAAAUUUACUCACUUAUAACUAAGACUAGUUUCUAAUUAAAACCCAAGCUAAAAACCCAUAAAUCCUUUAUCCAUACCUUAAGUGAGCUUAGAUGCUUAAAAACCUCAAUACGCUUACGCUUUACUGAUAAACAGAAAAAUUUGGACCAUAAAAAUAUAUUUUCAAAAGCUAAAAAUCAAAAUUUAAAGUUUUCAAAGCAUAAAAAUGUCAUUUUUAUCGUUUAAACUCAAAACCAAGCUUCAUAAUUAUCAAAGAUGAAGAUUUGCAUGAAAAUAAGGUUGAAAGAGCUUAAAUUGAGAGAAAUACUUUAGAAAAAUGGCUGAGGGUUGAAAAUCCUCGAAAAAUGUAAGGUAUUAAUAGUUUUGAGUGUUAAAAACAUUUUUGCCCCUUUCAUUUUUCUGGAAAUAGCAAAAUGUAUCGAUAUAUUUAGUCCAUGUAUUGAUAUAUUUGGUUUUGAAAGAAUUGUAUCAGUACAUUAUGAACAUGCAUCGAUGCAUGGCCAUAUGUAUUGAUACAUCAUGAACAUGAACUAAUACAUUUGAAGCAAAAUGCAUUUUUUGAGACAAAUUAUCUAUAAAACCUGCCCAGCUUAUUCUCACUGGUGCUUUAACUCCAAUUCACUCAAUUUCGCCACUUAGCAAAUGGACAGCAUUUUCACUCCCAUUAUAGUCAGCAUUUAAAAAAUGAACAUUUUUCAUUAUUCAUACAAUCAUUCACUAUUUCUAAACCAAAUCCUUGCUUUUAGAACAUCUCUAGACUAUUCACAUCAACUAUUUUAAAUCUUCACAAAUUCUUCACAAAUAAUUUAAAUCUCUCCUUAGUUGCGAAUAUGGUUCAUUUCAAACCCAAAAAUUCCAACAACUUCCAGUCCAAAUAAUCACCAAAGCUAAAACAUGAAUUUUCAAUUAUUAAACUGUUUAAAUUGGAAAACAAUGGGUAGAAAGCUUCAAAUUUACCAUUAUAACGACUUCCCAAGCUCAAAAUCACUUCUGUAAGCUUUAAAAUCCAAAUGGGGGAUGAAGGUUUUAAGAGAGAGGUGUCAGGGUUCUGUGUUUAGGAGCUUUGGCAAACGAGCGGAUUGCCCAAUGCCUUUUAUAUUUUUUUGCCAAUUUGCAUGCAUGUAUUGUUACAUUUAGUAAUGUAUCGAUACAUUUCCAUGGGUUACCUUUAAUUCUAUUGAUACAUGAGGUAUUGUAUUGAUACAUUUUUUUUAAAUCCCCUCCAAAUAUAUCGAUACAGGAGACAUUGUAUCGAUACUUUUUAAAUAGGAUGCUCUCUGGCCCAAAUCUAUCGAUACAUUUGGAUAAUGUAUUGAUAGAAAUCGCAUUCACUAUAGUUUUCUUCAAUUCUAUCGAUACAUGAGGUGAUGUAUCGAUACAUAUUUCCCAAAAUGCCCAUUUUGUGUUCUUCCUGCCUUCAAUGUAUUGAUACAUUAGGCCAUGUACCGAUACUUCUUAUCCAAAAUGCACUUUUCCAACACUUAGAGCUUUCCUAGCUAAAAUUUCAAACUCUCAUUUCCUUUCCGACUUACAUUCUCAUCUGAAUUAUCAAGACAUAAACUCAUUAUAUAGGUCAAAUUCUCAAUUAUGCACUAUGUCUCAUGGUAUAUCAAUUAAACAUAACAUAAUUGACUUAAACAUCACAUUCAUCUAAGUGCCAAACAAUGCACCAUAUCAUUCAUGUGCCAAACAUAUGGACAACAAUAUUUUGAGCUUUCACAUGCUCAUACAACACAUAAUCAUCCUUUAUGGACAUAGGUAUAUCGUUAAUCUCAUUAACACAUAUACUAUCAUAUAUAUCAACCACUUAAGGUUCAAAUUAGCCCAUCUAUCAGCUUAACCAUCAUACCUAUUUAACAUUGAAAAUCGGGGGUGUUACAAUGCAUACAUGGUUAAAAAGUUGGAAGAACAUUGUUAGUGUAGUAAGCUCAAUGCAAUAAAUACCAAAAGGGAGUGAAUUGGUUUUUUUAAAAUUUUUUUUGCAAGCUUAAUAAAAUAACCCGUUUUUGAAAAACAAAUUAUCUUCUUGUGUCAAAAGCAAAGCAAGUGAUUUUUCUUGAAAGCAAAUAUCAAUAAUAAAUCACAAAGCACAAAAGUAAAUCAAGGCAUAAGUAUUUUUAUAGAGGUUCGGCAUUCUCAAAUGCUUAUGUCUUCUCCCUUGGCUCACCAAAGAGUUUCAAAUCAACCAAGGAAUCUUGCCUUGUAAUGAGAUCAAGAUAUAGCCCUCACAAUCGACAUUUUCAUGGGAUCAAGCGAUAACCCUUACAACUGCUUUUUCAUGAGAUGUAAUACCUCGUACUUUGAUAUGGUGGCUAAUAAAGCUUAUCGGAUGCCAAUUGAGGUCAAUUAGAAUGUUUAAAAGUGAUGAAGGGUGAAAGGAAUAGUUUGGAAUAAAAUAUCUCGCAUACGAAGAAAUAACAAUUGAAUAAUAAUAUUUUUAUUAGGGAUGAAUGUGAAACCUUGACAUUCAUAGACAUGUAGCCGAUGUAGACACGUUGACGUAGAUUAGGAGUAAUCUUGUCAUUUUCCUUGGUGAGCUCCUAGAAGUGGGUUUUUUAACUAUUAUUAAGGUCUAAGUAGGCCUAAGAAAUAAAUGAAUGAGGUAUAUAAUAAUGAAAUGAAUGAAGAAAAUUGAAAUAAUGAUAAUUUCCAUAAUAGGGGCAAAAUGGUCAUUUUAGGUCUCGGGUUUAAAUUUUUAAGUUUUCAUGAACUCGAAUACCCCAAGUCUAUUGUGAAUCUUGUCUUAGUGUGAAAAAGAGUAAAAAGUCUGAACCAAAGGAAAGAAGAAGGUAAAGUCAACUAUGCAAUGGCAUUUUUGUAAAUAAGUGGAACUUUAGUCAACUUUAAGCAUAAAUAUGUAAAUCUCUAGCAUUUUCUCCUCACUUCCAAUAGCUUCUUCUUAUUCUUCCCAUUUUUCUUCUCCAUUUCACGUUUUCCAUCUCUCAUGGAAGCUUCCCUUGAAACCUCCAUGAUUUUCUCAUGGUAACCCCAAAUCUUAUGUUUUGAUAUGUACCUUGUCAUAGGAUUUUUCAUGUUCUUUUACUUCUACACCUCAAGAACCCUCAAAAGUCUUUCCUCAAUACUUUCUCUCCCUAGCUGUACGUUUUAGAGAGAGAAAAAGAUACUUUUCAUAAUAGCAUGAAAACUCUUAAAAAGGAAUUCAACUACAAGACCAACAAGGUGAACAGUGAGUUAAGUUUGAUUUAGAAAAUAGCUUUUGGAAUAAUAUUCAUGUCAAUUGAGUUGGUUGUGAUGUUAUUGUGUGUGAUAGGUCCCAACGAGACCCCACAUCUCCACUUGGAGCAUUAGUGGAAGUUGGAGUCGAUUAAAGAAUCAACAAAGACAAGUGAGUGAACUUGCAUCUAAAUUAUUUUGGGAAAUGCAUAGGUGUUUGAAUGAAUCAUUUGAAAAUUUUAUUUAUUUUUACUUUAUAAUAUACUUGGGAAACAAGCCCUUGAUGAAAUGUUCUUUUAUUAUGAAAUGUGCAAUGUGAUUAGUUCAUGUGUUCCUACAUUAUGUUGAUGUGUAUGGUAUGCAUUAAAUGUAUUAAUGUGUGAUAAUUAUAACCGUGCGUGUGCGGUGUGGGAGUGCAUAUGACGGUGUUGGUAGUGUGCAGUGUGGGAGUGCACACGUCGAUGAUUGAUGCCAUGUGUGGUCUGGGAAAGCACAUGAUGCUGAUGAUGAUAUUGUAAUGUGCGGUGUGGGAGAGCACAUGAUGCUGAUGAUGAUAUUGUAAUGUGCGGUGUGGGAGAGCACAUGAUGCUGAUGAUGAUAUUGUAAUGUGCGGUGUGGGAGUGCACAUGAUGACCUAGCUAUGUGCUGUGUAGGAGUGCACAUGAGUUGAGGGAAGGUUGGGGUGAUGCCGGUAGUUGUAUAUAUGUUUAUAAAUGUUAUAUAUAGAGAGAGGUUAUAGAAAAUAUAUUGUGAUUGCAUUGAAUAUUGAAUGUUAAAAUUUGACAAAUGCUUUCCAAUUGAUUUUCACUGCAGCAAAAAUGGAUUUCGUUGCGACAAGAAUUCUUUUAAUUUCAUUGCCCUAUUUUUCACUGUAGCGAAAUUUAUUCUCGCUGCAGCGAGAAACUCUCGAGUGCUUAGGGCUCAACACAGCCUUAGUUUUCGCUGCAGCGAAAUUGCAUUCUCGCUACAGUGAGAAACUCUCGGGUGGUUGGGGUAAAAUGUCAGCCUGGUUUUUGCUGCAACAAAUUACAUUCUCGUUGCAGCGAGAAACUCUCGAUUGGUGGUUCAAAACUUUUGCCCUGAAUUUCGUUGCAACGAGAUUCCCUCUACCAUGCUUGCCUUGCUUGGAUUCUGUUGUAGUUUUCACUCUUUUCAACUUCAUGGUUGAUCAUAGAUCCUUCAACAUAAAGGGAUUAAAUAAUCAAAGUUUGAAUUGAGGGGUUUUAACAAGGAAAUUAAGCUAAAUUGCAUUGUUUUCAACAUAAGUGCAUCAUGUUUUCUAAAACUUCCCAUAUAGGUGCUUGUUCCCUUCUUAUGUUCACUCACUGAGUUUAUACUCAUGCUUUUCAACUUCAUGUUUUAAGAUUCAGAGGUAGUUAAGACCUAGAUUGAGGUGUCCACUUGUAUUUGCUUUUUGGUAGGUACCAUGGCAUUCAGUAGCUGUACCUGUACCCAGAGUCACUCCGCUGGUAGUCAAGAUUCUUUUGCUUGUGUAUACUCACAUGUGUUGUAAAUCACUAAGGUUCAUGUUAUGCACAAUACAUGUAUAUUUGGAUUGAUGAUUGCCAUUAUAGGUUAGCAAUAGGUGACAUUUUUUUUAGGUUAAUAUGAAUGCAAGCAUAUGAUUGUCAAAGCACACUAUUAAAGUAAUUAUAGUUGAGAAUCAUGAAAUGUGACUUUAGGUGUGAUGGAUGAUAUAAUGGACAGGACUACAAAAAGAGGCUUGCUUAGGCUUAGUGGGCUAUGCCCAUUAGGCCUUUGCACCAGUCAUAGCUCAAAAAUUGGGCUGUGACAUGAGACCAAGUGAAAACCCUUGUAACAGCUUUUUCAUGGGAUCAAGCGAUAACCCUUUCAUUGGCUUUUUAACAAGAUCAAGUAAUAGCCUUCACACUAACUUUUCAAGGUUAAGUUUGAACCUUUAUAAAUCUAUGUAUAAAGAAGUUAUAGUAAAGAUUUGCCUCACAAAGCCUGGAUGCUAAAAGCUUAAGCUUUGGUGUACAAAGAAAAGAAAUAAUCUAAAAAAUAUUAGCUUAAGGAUUUGCAAGUGAAUGAGCUUGAAUGGCUUUGAAUGCUUGAGGGAAGACUAAAAUGAUGUCUAGAGAGAUAUAAGGAUUUUGAAUUCUCUCUUUAUGGUUUCCAAGUGUUGCUCUGUCUUUUCUUGCUUCAAAUUGAGUCAAAGGCAGCCUUUUAUGCUUGCUAGGAGAUUUGGAGCUGGUAGACACAAGUGUGAAUUAAAUCUAGCCAUUGAUAAGCUUGAGGGUCAACUACAAGGCUUUUAAGAUCGACUAUGUUCUUCAAAAAUCUUGAAUUAGGGCUUCCAUAGUCGAGUAUAAACUUCCUCUACUUGAUCCACUUUCAGAGAGCAUGUAACUUUGAAGUUUUAACAUUGAGGACCAACUACCAAGCCUUGAGGAUCGACCGUAACAUCUUCAAAUGUGAGAUUUCUAGUGUUUACUGCUUGAGGAUCGACUAGGGCUUCUUAAAAUGUGAAAUUUCUAGUUGAAUCUUGUUAGGUUUAGCUAUGGAUGACAUGGUCGAAAUUACACAGUGGAAAAAAAUAAAAACUUAAGAAAAAAAUAAAACAUACCUCCACCAAUGGAUCAUCGUGGUUAUAUUUUAACACAUAGAAUGGCAUAUAAAAAAAAAAUACCUCCACCAAUAAAUCACCAUGGUUAUAUUUUAACACAUAGAAUGGCAUAUAAAAACAUAACAUCAAAAGCUAACCUUGCUAAUGUUCUUUUGAUCGGAAUAGUAAUCUCCUCAAUGCAACCUGCGAACACCAUAAAAAGCAAGAAUCCUAGCCAAUCAGGCUUUUGGAAUUCAAUGGUAGUACACAUGAUUUUCGCUUGAACCUUUCAUCAAGGAGGGAGAUUUUAACUAUGCUUUUGUGCUACCAAAAAGGGACGACAUUUGUCCCUUUCCACUUUUCACAACGAUGGUUGAAUCAUACAUUUAAAAAUUGCCUUAAUAACAAUUUUUCUUUUUCACAAAGUAGGUGGCGGCACACAUAAGGAGAAAACCCUUUUUUCUUUUUUGAUAACUCUUUUUCUUUAUAUGUGAAAAAUUCGUUAAAUGUGAUUUAUACAACUAGGUUAAAAUUAACUUUAAUUUUGCAAUAAUGCCUUCUAAAUUAUAACACAUUACAAUGGAGGCCCAUGACUUAAUUAAACUAUUUUUAUUAAGCCCAAUGCAAAAUUAAGUUUAAAUAAUUUCCUUUAUAUUGUUUCAAUUUUGACAUUAUAAUUAUAACUAUUUACAUAUUAUGCCCAAAACUUAAUUAAACUCUUUUUAAUUAAGAUUAUAGAAGUUAAUUACCUAGCAUAUGAUUUAAGUCUAACUUAAAUCAUCAUUCUCCCAAUUUAAUUCAAAUGCAAUCAUUAUGUGUGACCCAUUAGGUUCUUAACAUGUUGGCAAUGGAAUUAAUUAAUGACUUAAUUGAUUCAUAUAAAUUUCAAUCAAUUAAUUUAUAAUUAAUUCCAUAGACUAAGAUUGGCAUCUAGCAAUGCAUCAUAAGCACUCAAUUGUUAGGAGGGUCAAAGGGUUCUUUUAACAACCUUUUAGUGUAUAGUUUAUCAGUGUAAUUCAUUCCCUCAUCAUAUAUCUCGAAGAUGAUAAGAGCUUGGUACAGUGUCUACUAUUAUUGACCUCUAUAUUCAUUCUUGCAAUUAUAGCAUUAGCUUUAUAGAGACUUAUGAAACCUUUUUCAUAAUCUCCAAGUCACCUUGGUCAAGGACUUCAACAAGCUAAUGUUAACCAAGAACUGAUAGGAUAUGGUUAGGCACUCGUAGGGAUUGAAUAAAAGCAUAGCACUCCCCAUAUAAGACAACUUGGCAUCUCAAGUCUAGGGAGUAUUUACAUGAUUGACACAUGAAAAGUGUUGCAUAGACAUUAGAGUGCAUUACCACAUGCACUUCUCAUGGUGGGUCAUGUUAAGUGAACUUGCUCUCCUCGGCAAACACCUACAUUCUAGUUCCAAGUAUCUCUAUACUUCAAUCUAUGGGAUCGAUUGCUUACUUUGAAAGUAAGGAACAUAAAAUGUACUAGUCUAUAAGCAUCAUUGAUGUCCAGUCUCAAUGAUACAUUGACUAGGAACAUUUUGAGAUUACGCUUUGAUGUAUAUGGAUCUCAUAACUGUAACCCAUUACAGUUCCUUCGCAAGGCAUAUUAAUAUCAUGGACUUCUACUAAUUAGACUUAUAACUCAUUAUAAUUAAUGUCUUAUUGAUGAAGAAAACCUCUAAUCAUUCAAUAUGAAUGAUAUCGUUGCAUGGCUAGAACCUAACCUUGACCAAUCUCAAUUAACUGUAGGGCUUAUCUCAACAUUCUCCCACCAGCACAAAGCCAAUUGUUGCCUCAUCACAAUAUGAAUCCAAUCCAUUUAGCAAUCGUGUCUCUUUAUAGACUUGCUUAUGCCCUUUAAUGUGGUUAAUUGCUCUUACUUUAUGAGGUCAUAACAUCUCGUGAUAUUACUAUAUUUAGACCCGAUGAAACUCGGUUCUUGGUGUGGCUCUAUUGUCAUAUUAACAAUGGCUAGAACCCUUUAUUAGUUCAAUGGGCUAAAGAUCUAGAUAUCCUACUACUUGAGCCUUUAAUAGGAUGUAUAUGACCUUAUUUAUAAACAUGUUCAUAGUCCUUUUCUAACUUUGGAACUAUUCCAACUUGACUAUGCUUCAUGCAUCACAUGCAUUUUGUCACUUAGUUUUGUGCCAUCCAUUACUUAUUAAAACUUGGCCUUUUCUUUAUACACAUAUUUCAUUUUAUGUAAUUGUAUCAAUAAAGAACUAUAUUCACUCCCAAUAACCUCCUCAUGUGUAUGAGACAAGUACACUAACAUAUUCUAUUACAUGAAACUCUUUGGAUCUCAUUAAACAGAAUAAAGUGUAAAAUUUCAUUAAAUUAUAUUUAGUAGAUUCAUUUAAUAUGAAAAUACAUCUCAAUGUAUCUUACUAAAUCCAUGGAGUUCUCAUACAAUUAUAUUGAUUAUGCAACUUAAAGUAAAAUCUCUAAUAUUGAAUUCCAAUGUAACAUAGUAAUGUUAAGAAACUAUUUUCUUAAUGUCAUGAUGCUUCAACUAAAUCCAAGAUUCUUUGUGAGAGUAAUAUUCAAACUCUUUUGAAUAUUCCACGAAGGUUCAUACAUACAUGCUAAUGCAUGCUUGGAAUUGUAUUGGUUUUAGAAUACCAUUAUGGGCUUAAUGUAUUGGAGAAGUAUGGACCAAAUCAUAUCACAAUAUGACUUUGCUUUCUUCUUUUGAAUAAACAUCUCUAUGUUUAAUUCAUAAGAAAGUUUCACCAUUACAUGAAUUGACAUUCAUUCAUUUGAUCAAUUAAUCACAAACUCAAACGAUCUUUUACUAAGAUCUUCACUUAAGUAAGGUCACUUGAUUAGUUGAUUAAUCUGAAUUGAUUAAUUUUAUUUUAAUCAAACUAAUUUUACAUAAAUCAUAAUUUAUAAUUGAUCAAAUACCAUUGCAAGUUGAAAUAUGAAAUGUGGAUAAUAAUAAAGUAAGAUAUAAUUAUUCCAAAUAAUUAUCCAAACAUGAAACAUUACAACUUUAACAUCUAAAUGGUAAAUAUAAAUGUUUCACAAUUCAUCCAUAUGGCAAUAAAUGUCAAAACCUUUAACCAAAUUAUCCAACAAAUCAAAUCAUAAGUUUAAACAGGCAUGCAAACCAUCCAUAUGUAGCAUGCAAUGCUUCAUGUAGUGCAUUAAUCUGGUCUCCUUCUUAGCUAAGAUCCUAUUCAUCUAUGUCCUGGGUUUUUGCAAUAUGUCAUACAUAUUAGAACCAACAUAAGGUAUCAUAUAUCUUUAUAAUAUAGAGUAGUAUAUCUUAACAAAUGGUACCUAAAUUAGAAACUUUAACAAGCUUCUUUUUCUUGCUUGCAGCAGCUCAGGUACUCCUUGUAAUUCCGUCUCCAAUGCCCAGGUUUGCCACAGUGUCCUUCUUUUUGUCCUUUUUGGCACCUCUUUUAGGCUUCAAUGCCUUCUAAUUUGGGGAUGUUACCUUCUUCCUCUAUUAGGGUUUUUUUUUCUUUUGCCUCAUUUGAGCCUUUGAAAAAGAAACAAAAAGUAAAGCUCUUUUUUCCUUUUUAAUAGAGCUCUCUAUCGUGUCCAGCAUGUUCAGAAGUUCAGGAAAAGUCACUUCCAAACGGUUCAUAUGGAAGUUCAACAUAAACUAAUUGAAGUUGUCAAGAAGAGACUAUAGAACUAAGUCAGUACUCAACUCAUGAUCUAUCGCCAAUACUAAUUGUCCAAUCCUCUCAAUGAGUUUAAUCAUCUUUAAUAUGUGGGGUCUAAUAGAACUCCCAUCUGCCAUCUUGCACUGAAAUAAUUCCUUAGAUAUCUCAUAUCUUUUAGUGCGCCCUUUCUUCCAAAACAAUUCUCUAAGGUGAAGAAUUAUGCAUUGGACAUCCAUGCUGGCUAGCAUGCUAGCUAGCAUGACGCAUGCUACCUGAUGAUCAUCAUCCUUAUGAUGUUGAUAUGCCUCUUUAUCCUCAGCACUACCAUCAUCAGCAAGGACUGAUGGAAUAGGUGUGUCAAGGACAUGCGAUUUCUUCUCCUGUUUCUAGAUGAUCUUGAGGUUUUGAUACCAAUUCAGGAAGUUUGGGCCAAUGAGUUCAUUUACAUCCAAGAUGCUCCGAAGUGACAAGUUGUUAGCCAUGUAUAUAGAUUAUGUCUGAAUAGAUAAGAUAAAAGCAAUAAGUAUAAUCACGCAUAAACUAUUUAAAACAAGGCUUUGAAAUUUUAAAUAGGUCACCCACUAUUUUAUAUGCAAAAUGACAACCCUCAAAGUCAUUCCAGAAACUUUCUUCUAGGAACUUUCUAGUGGGCUAGGAUGCCGUUCAACUUACCAUGACCUUGACUGUGCUCAAUAAGCCAUGAUAUGCCUAAUUAGGUAGAUAACUUAGUUUAUUGAUCACAUCUCUAUGUGACUCCUAGAUCAGCUAGUGUUGACUCCAUAUGUUUUUGAUGAAAACAAAACAUUCCUUGUUUAUUAAUGUCUAACUUCACUAUUUAAGUGUGUAGGAUAAAGUUAAUUCCCUCAGUAAAAUGAAUGAUUAAAAACAAGAUCAUAUAAUAAAUAGGUUAAUCAGUUGAAGUGUGAAAGAUGAAAAUAGUUAGUGAAGAUAGGGAUUGUGCAGCUAAUUAUCAAAAAGCCUUAAUCAAUUAAGGAAUCCUGGGCUACAAGUUGAAGCAAAAUAGAAAAAUCCUAAUCAGUUAGCACUAGGCUUAACUGAUAAGAAGUUGUUGGACAAAGGAAAAACAGAGGUGUGCCAAUCUAUUAAGGCAUAAGGUUAAUCGAUCAGAGUGCAAGACUUGAUGAAUCUCUAAAUGCCAAAAUUGAAAUAUAAAGAGAAGUUGACCAUUGAAGGGAGCCAAAAUGGGGAAGUUGAAAUUUAGAAGUUUCCUAAUAGAUUGGAGCACGUGUUAAUCGGUCAGGGUUGUAGGAAGUGAAACUCCAAUCAGUUAAAGGGAAAGAUAACCAAGUAAUGAAAGUUUGCUAAAGUAGAGAAGCCUGAAGACAGAACUCUCUUAAUCGGUUAAGGUUCCUGUAAUCGAUUAACGUAAAAUACAUAGUAGCAAGAUAGUGCAAGGCAAGGAAAAUGUGAUCCAUUAAAGCUGCUUAGAACCAGUUAGUUGAACUUUGUCUGUAUUUUUGAAUUUAAGCACUAGAGCAUAAAAUAACAGUUGACCAGCAUCAAAGUUGUCUCCAACAGCUGAAAAUUGUCUUUAACAAAAAAAUCUGACUCCUCAAGUAUAAAUUGAGGCUCCAAUGGUGAAAUAAGGUAGAUUGAAUGAGAAAAGAGCCAUUUGGAGCAAAAAGCCAAAUAUCUUUAAGCAAAAACACUUGUUCUUCAUUUUUAUUUUAGAAAAAGUGUUUGAGCUUGCUUGUAAUCUUUCCAAAUUUGUAAAGAAUUCUAGUUGUACUUCUUUUUCUUCUCCUUUUUAGGAAAUUAGAGUGUGGGAAGCACUUUAAAGCUUGUUGUAAGGGAUUAGAGCUUGGGUAGAAUCUCACCUUAUAAAAGCUUGGUGGAAGCUGUUAAUUCAACUAGAAUAAUGAAGUUGGGUUGAAAAUCCUUGAUUGGGAGAUCAAGGUAGUGGAUGUAGAUCAAGAGGACCAAACCGCUAUAAAUACUCUUGCAUUGUCCACUUCUCUCUACCCUGCCUUACUUGGUGUCUUUUAGCUACUACAAGCUUUACAUCUUUUUCCCUUUAAUUGGUUAAAAGUUCAACCACUCAAAAAAGGCUAAUCUUAAACUUUUUUAGUGUUAUUCAUCCCCCUUCGAGCACUCUAACGGGAUCAACAAGUGGUAUCAAAGCCAUACCUCAAAUUUAAGGUUUAACAUCAUUAAAGGUGAUCCAUAUGGCUUUGGAAAAGUCUAUUGUUGCUGAGGGUCAAUCUAAAAAUAGCCCUCAUUUAUUUGGUGUAUCAAAUAAUGCUUAUAUGUGUUAGGAAUUUUGAGAAUAUGGUGCCCUGGGAAGCAAGUAUAUUGUCAUGCUUAAAUUCAUUUAUUUGUAAUGAAAGUACAUUUUGAUAAUAAGACGAAGAGUUUGUUUUAGUAAGCAUUCAUUAUCUAGUUAUUAAGGUACUAAGAUUCUAUUGAGAUAUUAAAAUACAUUUGUAUGAAGAGUCAUACAUAGGAGACAUGUAUUUUAAUUGAAUCUAAAAAAUUGUUCAUAGCCAUAUAAUAAAGCUGGUCACUUUAUUAUGUUAAGGCUGUAGUAUCCAGAUUACUUCCAAAAAAAUGAAUGUGAUUCAUUUCAAGGGAAUAAUGAGUCUCAAAUCAUCGAAAUGGUUGACUUGAGUAAUGACACUAUAACAUGAACUAGAAUCAUGUGAGAAUCAAAUUUAAGUUUUACCGUUACCUAUAUCUUGAUCUCACACUUAUGCAUUUGCUUUUAGUAGAACCGAAAUCCUGAUGGAUAGUGGACUCGUGUUUAAUCUCCUUAUGAUCUUUGAUUUACCAUGAGCAUGAUCAUCAUAAAGCGUUGAUCUAGACUCCGUAUUUUGGGAUUACAGUCGAGAUGAGCAUCUGGGAACAUAUAUCCAGAUAAUGGAGUUCAUAGCAUUUACAUCACUUCUAGUGAUUUUAAGAAGAUUGGUGAUUAAUCUGGGCCCAGUGGAUUGAUGAAUUAGCUACUCAUCACAUCUGGAUACUCAAAAGAUUAGAUCUAGAGAUCUGAAUCACUAAUUGGAUGAAAUUUGAGACUAAGGGACAAAAUUGACAUAAAGGGUAAAACGAUAAUUUCACAUUUUUUCAUUGGAUGGUUAUAAGGGUUCACAAUAUAAGGUUUGCAAUUGGACAACUAACAAUUAAUAUCAAGUAUUGAAUUGUUUCUUGCAAUUAUAGUUAAUCCAAGAGUGCAACCAUGAAUCUAUGGUGGAGUGAAUUCAUGGUUAAUAAGCUUGAAUUAUUUUUAAUGAGAUUAAGGAUAAUUCUAAGUUUAUUGGAGCUUGGAAUAUCUAUGUCCAAAUAGAAGCCUCACUUAGCUUCGUAGAAUUCAACUUGUUUAAGUUGGAAUGCAUGUUUUAAUUUGUUUAAUUGAAUUGUGUACAAAAAUGGUAGCUUUAACAUAUUUGUCUCAAUUUAGACAAGAUAAGAUAUUUUUUUGUCUUAAUUACAGACAAGAGUUGUCUUAAAUUAAGAUAAGUUUAGGAGGAUUCUUGCAAAAUGAAUCUAGACAUCCAUGUUGAUAAAAGGAGACUCCAUGUUUGACUAUUACUCUUUUAUUUAUUAUUAAUUCUUUUUAAAUAAAGAUGGACAAUAAUAAAAUAAGAAUUAUUAUUCAAUAAGGAGUUUUAUUUUAUCAAGAACUCUAAAUGAUAAUUAAAGAAUUAAAUUAUUUAUUCUUUAAUUUUUAUUUUGAUAAUUAUGGAACAUGUUUGAUGCUUCCAUAACUCUAAAUGGAUGGUCAAGAGUGAUUCAAAGGUGUUUCAUUUUGAUUAAACCUUUGAAGCAAGAGUUUUAAUAAAAAGAGAAAAGAUUGGAAGAAAACAUAUAAAAUGUACUUUUUCUUAAAAAAAAAAAAGUUUCAGCCAUCUCUUCUCUUUUCCUCCUCCAAGCUUUUCCAAAGAAAAGAGAAUAAAAUCGAUUUCCAUCUUGUAGCCUUGCAUUCCACACCUUGUCCACUCAAGGUUCAAGUUGAAAGUAUUCUUGAAGAAUAAGUGGUAAACUUAUUUGGUCGAGAAGUCAUUCAUUGGUGUGGUGGUGUUCGAAAAUAAGAAUCUUAAAAUAAAGGUAUCGUUUUUCUUACUUAAUAGAUUCUUAUUUUAUUUUUUGAUGUGAUUAUAUUGAUUGCAAUAAUUGUCACUGACCCGGUACUCUCCUUGAGCCCGUGACAACCGCCGUGAUGUUCCGAUAGACAUUCAUUACCCAAAAUGCCAACCGAAACCCCGUACGACUUUAAUAUUAGUUUUCGCACCUCCUCUGUGAGCAACAGUUGUUAAAUAUCAUAUUUUGAGAGACUAUAAACUAUUUCCAAAUCAAAACAAUAAAAAAAUAAUUUUUCGCUCACAGGGGUAUUUUGGUCAUUUUUUCUCGAAAGUCUCGAAACCAGCUAAAAAUAUAGUAUACAAGUGGAAAACACAUAUUUCAUAAUCAAAAAUAAGUUUAGAGAUCUAAAACAUUCAUUUAAAGUGAAAUUAUAACUAUUUGAAUAUAAUAUAAAUAUUUAAUAAAAAUAUUCUAUUUUCUUAUAAAACAAUAUUUAUAGAGUUACCGGUAAAUAAUUUUUGUAGAGUAAAAGCUAAAUAAAUUCAUACAUACUGUAAUACAGAUAACCAAAGUAUAAAAUUUAAUUUACAAUGACACAUGGGCCCACGAACGACUAAAAGUAUCAAAAGCGGUAAACCUACAGUUUUUGAGGAUGCAAGUCCAACUGUAGCCCUCAACAAAGUGAGCUAUCUACCAACUAUCCUGAGCCUGAAAUGGGUGGAAAAGAGGGUUGUGAGAUUAUAUAAUCCCAGUGAGUAAACAAAUACCAUCUAAAAUAUCUAAAGUUGAGUAAAUGGAGACAGAUUAAAAUAGAUCAUCACACUGUAAUUCAUCACCUUUCAACUCAUUUCAACCAAACAAAAUCAAUUCAUAUAAAUUGAGUAAUCAACAUGGCUUAUGAAUUUCUUAAAACUUUGGCUCGUGCCAAAAUCAUUCUCAUACUCAGUUAUCCAGGAUACCUUGGCAGAGGGCUAUCCCAACCGAGUCCGCCAAGGCUAUUAAAAAGUCAUGUACGCAUAAAUCAUGUUUUGAUUUUGAAAACAUAGCCGUUCCUUGGCGUUGGCUAAGUUCACCCUCAUGUGGUGGUUUAGCGUGAAGUGAACUCUAAAGUGUUAACCUCAGGAGUUAUCCAUCCGCGCCUCUCAUACUGAGGUAAGAAUAUAAUAGGGUUACUGUGCCCCCUCUAAUAGGCUGGUCCACGGAACCCGUCCAUUGCAGCGACUAAUCAAUAACCCACCAAUUCAAUAAAAUUCAACAGCAUGACAUGGCAAUUUUAUCAUUAUCCAGCUUAUCAAGGCAAAGAACAAUUUAUACAUUUUCAACACAAAUACCAAUUCAACCAUUCAUGCCAAUAUUAUCAUAAGCCAUUCAAUUCAAACCAUGAUUUAUAACACAACAAUUAAUCUCCAAUUACUCCAUUUUCAAAACCAUCAUUCAAUUUCAAGACAAUUUUAUAAAAUCAUUUCAUUUAAUCACAUUUUUGCUUAUAAAACAUAAAGAUUUACCAUUUAAACUUAUUUUUCUAUCAAAUCACAAAAAUGAAUAAAAACUACUUUAGAUAAUUAAGACGAUAAUAAGGUUACUCACUAUUUCGGGAGUCGAAUUCUGAGUACUUCGAUUCUUGAUCCUCGGGUACUAUCUCUUUACUUUUGCCAGAAUGCUCACCACCUAGACAUAAUGCACAAUAAGCCAUUUACUACAUUUGUGCUAAAUUGGUAUAAAACCAAUUCAUGCUCUAUACUAAUGCAUGAAAUGGGAUGUGAAAUACUCGGGUAACUAUUUAAAUACAGUGUUCAAUAUAAAUUCAAUUAUGUACCUAAAUAAAACGAUAUUGGCCUAAUUCGAUCUAUCACCCGAUUAAUUAGCUAAUACGUCCAAUUCAAUUCCAAAUAAUUUCAUUUUUCUCCCAAUACUCCAAAUCAUCAAACAUAAAUUAAUUAACUUGAAAUAUGGCAAAAUCAUCCUCACAUUUUCUCUUGGAAAAUUCGGCCAUGGUGGGUGCAUCAACACUAUGAUUUUUCCUACUUGAUUUCUCACCAUAAUUCAUCAUUUCCUAACCAAUUCACUUGAAAUAAAAUCAAAUCCACCAUCAACACACCAUAGGAAAGAUUCAGCCAAUGGAGGUUCUUGUGGGGUAUACGGGUUUUCAUGCUAAACAUUACCAUUUUCGGUUUCCACCACCACAAUUCAUUAAAUUCUAACUAUAUAACAUAAGACAUCACAUGAUUCAUCUUCAAUAUUGUCUUUAUGAAAUUCGGCCAAUGAAAAAUCCAUGAAGAAUAUGUGAUUUUUCUUACUUGUUUUCCUUCCAAACAUGAUAAAUCAACUAUAAACACUAAAAUAUCUCAAAAUCUAACCAAAUAAAUCAUCAAAUCUUCUCUCUCUAAAUUCGGUCAGCCAUGAAUCCUUCAUGAUAUCUUGUGAUUCAACCAUGGAAAAUGCAAAAGACUGUAUGGGAAAGGUAGAUCACAAGUCAAAAUCAAGAAAUUUUACCUUUGAUUGCUUGAUUACUUGAAAUCCACCAAUUUUCUCUUGAAUUUUCACUCUAGGGUUUUUGUUCUUCUUUCCUUCUUUUGUUCUUGCUAUGGCCGACCAUGAGAAA
rnacentral:lncRNA from 1 species